rnacentral:lncRNA from 1 species
AAAGUCCCCAUCAUUCCUCCCAUUCUUGGAGGACAAAAUCGUCAAUUCAUCCGACUCUGGCGACGAAUUCAAUUUAUAGGUCUCCGAAUCCCCGAUCUUCACCUUCUUGGUCCGGAAAGCCCCAUCAUCAAACCCUUCAUAUUCGGCAUUUCCCUACUACCACCACCCCUCGCCGGCAGAAUCCUCAACUCAUCAUCAUCCUGAAAAUCAUUCCCCUGCGCCGACGACGUAAUAUUAUUCAAACCAUACGGGUCCAACGAAUCACUGAACCCAUACGGGUCGGAAGACCAGCGGGUCGAACCUUGGGAAGAAAACGUGAAAUCGAAAACAUCUGGAGGGCUUUCUUGGGAAAACGACUUAUCGGAGACGCCACCGUUAAAGUUCCUCGUCGCCAUGCUUCUGCUCCGACGGCCGUAGGUCCUAACAAUCAUUUCUUGACCAAGAUCGAUACUUUGUCAUCAUAGGAGAAAUUUUGAAAAUUUUGAAAUUAGGGUUUUUGAGACGAGCUGAAAAAAAAAUCAAGGGUUCUUGAUUUUCUUGAAGAUCAGGAACUGAAAUUCUAGCGAGACAAAAGUGAAAGGAGGGUUUAAUGUAAUGGCAUGUAACAGUAAAAACCGAUUGGAGAAUAUUAAAUAUAUAGACGUUAAUUUUUUUCGGGUAAAAUGAGGAAUGCGAUUUUGAGGAUGAGUUGGUGGUGAGAUCUGAGCCGUUGGAUUUUCAAGGAAAGACGUUGAGAUUUUCGUUUUUUGUUUUUUAAAAAUUGAGGGUAGUUUGGGUAGUCGGAAAUGGAAGUUGGCAGCGUGGCAACGGCGUGACCGUUGUUCAAGAUAGAUCAGAGCUCGGCUACUGUGCUUUCCGUUCUUACUUUCUUUGCUGUUUGCUUUUGAGCAAAUUAAUUCCCUUUUAUUUACGAGCAUUCUAAGUUUAUUUAAAAACUAGAGUAAUACACAAUUUAAACAUUAUCAAUAAAUUUUAGCCCUAGAGUUGAUUUUAUGGUGCGAAUAAGCACCAACUAUGUGAAUUAUCAGGAAAAUUUCUAUAUACGAUGCACCUUUUUUAAAUGAUUUAUAUGGAUUCAGUAUUUGAGAAAAUAUUUUUCAAAUACAACACUCUCGUAAUUUCAAUAUAUUAUUUAUUCACUCUCGUAUAGAUGUUUUUCUUUAAUAAAUCAGUUAGUUGUAGCUAUUGUUAGGGAAAUAAAAUAAAAUAAAGGUUUUACGUAAAAGUAGAUUGAGUAUUUGUUAAAAUGAUUCCACUAAUUCUGCCUAUUUUAUGGAAAAUGAGUUACCAUUUUAAAAAUUUUAUGGAAAAGAUUUAAACCAAUUAACUCUCAUUCUGAAGUUCAAUUUUGAAUAUUAGACCAAGAUUUCAAUGGCAUACUUCUUCUUCAUAGUUUAACCUGCCAAGAUAGAGAGAGGAGAGAUGGUAAUAAUAUGUAGCCAUGUUGACAAAGGGGGUGAAAAUUACCUAAAAUCGGGUUCACAAUUCUAGAGGUAGUGUGAAGAUGAAGUGACACAUAAGAUUUUGGAUAAGAAUGGAAGGUGUUUUAGGUGUAAAGAACUGUUCUGGUAGCUGCAGCACUGUGUAUUUGCUCGCAUGCAUUUUUCGUACUUCGCACAGCAAAUUAGCUUAAGGGGAAUGAGAGGGGCCGGCUGGGUUGGUGAGGAUUUGGUGCUGUGGAUACUGUGGACCGUUUUCACUUUUUGGCAUGUGACUUGAUCAGAAAAUUACCAAUCACGACUGAUUUUUGUUGUAAACCUUUCACCUUUUCGGUGAGAUUCUGUUUGAAUUAGCUAUUUUUUAGAAUAUUUUUAAAAUAUUUUACUAUAAUAAUAUGUAUAUAAAAAAAUUUUAUUGUAAUAUAUUUUUUGAGAGAUUUUUUAAAUAUAUUUUGAGAUAACUUUUAAAAUUACAAUAUUUUUAUGGUACUUUUUAAAAAGUAAUACUACCACGUACAAUCACCACUAUCACCUACCACCCCUUUAGCUUCCUCCUCCCUCUCCUUCCCUCUUCCCUUCCCCUUCCCCUUCUCUCUUCCUUUCCCCCCACCUCUCGGCCCCCUCCUUCCCCCUCGAUCUAGUCUCAACAAGAUCGAGGCCUCUAGUCAUAACCAGAAUGUCACAAUUUUCUAGUCCCAAUCUGGAGACUAGAGGCUUCGACCUAGGAGUGAGGGGAAGGGAUGAGGAAGAGAAGGAGGAUGAUGAUGAUGGGUUGAUGGCGGUGGUGAGUGGUGGUGAUAGGUGAAAGAUAUUGUAAAUUUUAUUUUUUAAUUUUUUGUAUAUAUUUGUGAGUUAUUUUUUAUAUAUUGUAUGAAUUAUAUUUUUUUGUAUAGUUUUUUAUUUGCGUAUUGGUGUAGCAUUAUAUUUGAAAAUUUAAUUUUUUGAAAAACAUGUCAAUCCAAAUGGAGAACUCUUCAUUCUUUUGUGUUUUUCAUUCUGUUUGUGCAAAGUGAUUGUAGCUUGUUCUUGAGCAAUUUGUGAUAUACAUUUAAAUGUAUUAGAUUUAAUAUUUAAUAAUUUAAAAUUUUAAUAAAUUCAAAUUUUUUAGAUUUCAAUUUAAUCAAACGCAAAUUUGAGCAACUUGUGGUGCAUUUAAUAAAAUUGAAAUAUAAAAUCUCAAUCCAUUACGUUAUUAAAUAGUUAAGUACUAAACUUGAUACAUUUUGGUAUAUAUCAUAUUAAGUGAUAAGUGAAUAGUUUAUCAUUUAUUUUUUGAACCAAGUUUUAUCUAAAAAAUUCAAUGCCACUUAAUUAAUUUAAACAUUCUAUUUUUUGUUACUAAACGCAAUUGAACAUAUUAAGAUCUGAACCUAUUAACUUUAAGUGUUAAAUUGAGUUAUCAAAUAGGAUACCUAAAUAAUAUGUAUUAAGGUAUGAAAAUCUCGAACUUAUGAUAAGUUAAUAUUGGAUUCUAUGAAAAGCUUGAUGCUGACAAUAGAUUGAUCAAAUUUAUGAAAACAAUAUGCACUUAUAUAAUAUGACACUUUUCUAUUUCAAUGUAUGCUAUCAUUUUUUUUUUAGUUCAACGGAGAGACUCUAAGCAUUAAAAGAGAAAAAUCAAAGAGCUUGAAAGUUACAUGAUCCUACCUAGCAAGCAGCCAAGAAUAUAACAAAGAGUAGCAGGGUUUUGCCAAAUGUCCUGUGAUUUCUUUUUCAAUAUGACUUUGGAAGACGACCGAAAAUCACAGGUUUCCCAUGAUCCACAACUAAAGGAUUAAAUUAAUCAAUCAGAUUGAAUCCUCCAUUAAGAAAAAUGAGUGAAGAAGAAGGGAAACAACCUAUACUCCUCUCCUUUAGUACUCACUAAGGCUUGGUUAGGGAAUUGAGGGUUUGACCAGAAAAAAGGGAAAGAAACGAAAGUUUAGGUUGUGUUUGGAUUGCAUUUUCUAGGAUUUUUUGUAGAAAAAUUAGUGUAGCGAUUUGAUGUAUAUGAGAAAAAAAACGUAAUAUGGAAAUGUGAUAACGGAAAACAACGCAAUUUUCUGGUGAAAAAUAGCGGUCCAAACAAGGCUUAAUUUUCAUUUGUUUGUUAGUUUGAUAUAAAAAAGAAAGAAAAUGGAAGGAUUUAUUAGGAUGAACAGGAGUCAAAACAUUUCCAUCCAAAUUGGACGAAAAUGAAAAGAAACUUCGAGGAAGCUUGUCAAAAAUUUAAAAAAAUAUCUAUUUUGUCCUUAAAAAGGUUUGAACAAAAAUAUUAAUAACUUUUAUAUUCAAAAUCACUCCACUAAUUAUUAAAACUUUCAAAUAAUAUAACAAUCCCUUCUCUUUUUUACUUUUCUCUCUCGUAACUUAAGUUUUCCCCUUUUUUUUUUCCCCCUAUCCUAAACUCCCAAACUAAGCCAGAGAGUAAAAUAGUAUGAUGGUUGCGUGGUUCUUAAAGCAGAGAGCGCUUAAGUUAUAAUUUUUUUUUUGGAAUUCAAGAAAUAUGAAUUAUGGUGCUUGCCACUGCGAGCAGAAUUGUCAAGAGACAAAAGGCUGAAAAAGACAAAUCAGGUGGAACGGUAAAGAGGUCAUAGUGGAAGAGAGACCUUGGUCAAAUAAUAACUUCUAGACAAAGGGCUAAUAAUAUGGAACUAAAAUUGGAACUUUUGGCCCGUAGGACCAAAGAAAAAGGUAUAGUUGCCCUCUACUGUGCUGGCAAACCGAGUCACUUGCAACUGGUCCUGUCAAACGCUAAAUUCGAUUUCGUGCUUGAGUUACUUGUUUCAGGUUUCAAAUUACUCAGUGCUUGAUGAAUCAAGGCAAAUAGUUCUAUUAUUUAUAUAAUAUAUUUAUUUUAGUUAUGAAAUUACAUUAUGGAUUUAUGUUUUAGCAAAUUUAUUGAAAAGUUUUGUACACUUUAGAAUAUGGCAAAAAAGCAAUAAAAUAAUUAUGAAAAUACUAAAAAGAGAAAACCGUAACAAAAAGAGCUCAAAAUUCAAGAAGAAAAAAAAAAAAAAAAAAAGAAGAAGCUACUCGUCUCUCUCAUGCUCUGUCGCCACUUACCCGUCUCUACUAUCUCUAAUCGUCUCUGAAUCUUUGGCCGCCAUUGCUGUCUCCAUCCUCUUCAUUGUCGCUGGCUCUACUUUCUAAUCUCCCAGUCUUCAUUUUGCUCCCCGUCAUUCGAGUCUCUCACUCUCCUUACGCCAAUGCUGUCUCUGGCUUUUAGCCACUCUUUGGCCCAUGAAAACCACCAAAGCUUUGCUUCUUCUGCCUCUCAAACCUUCAAUGGUUAGCUUCAAUUAAGUCAAUAGCACGAGCAAAGGGUAGGUCACUUCACGAACUCAGAUUGGAGAAGAAACCAACCAUUGGAGGCUUGGAGCUCAUUUAAGGUAAGUAAAUCACCGUAAUUUUUCCAUUAUCGCUUCUGUUUAUUGAAAUAGUUUUUUUUUUUCUUUCUGGAAUGCCUGGACUAAGCAUGAAAGCUUGAGUUUUUAUUCGAGUACUCGAAGUUGACGAGGUUCAAGAAUUGUAUCAAACUUUAUCGAAUCGAGCUCGAACUCAUGUGUUAUCUCUACAAGUCGAGUCCAGCUACAAGUUAUUUUACUCGAUCAAGUCGAAUUUGAACUCAAAUAUAUUAAAAAUUUAUCGAAUUCGAGUUGGAGUAUAGCGUUACUCGAGUAUGACUCGACUCGUCAGCACCUCUAUCUCUAAUUAAAGAACCUCUGCCUCUAAUUAAAGAAUAAGGAAAGAAGAGCAAGUUUGUUAUGAAUUUUAGUCGAUGGGAUUAGCACUACCACAUGUAGAGAUCUGAUAGGCAGGAGUAAUACAAACAAACCAACUGUCAAUUUUGCGAUGCAGAUGGGUAAAUUUAUUGAGAUCCAUGGUAUUAGAGAAAGAAGAGCUCUAUCGCGUAUUCAGCAUUCAUCAAUUUUUGACUUAUAUAAUUUUUUUAAAAAAUUCUUGUCAGGAUGUCCAUUCUUAAACUCACAAGUUAGUAAAAAUCUAAAAUUUUGAAUUGUACAUUUCAUAUUUUGUUCUCUUGAUUUUAUAACUACUCUCAGGACUCACUCAAGUGCUAUUUGAUGGAUAAUAUGUUAAGUUAGUAAAAUACAACCUAUAAUUAAAUUGUCAUAUCUACAGCCUAAAGAUUAUUUUUAGGGAUAAUUUCAAAAAACUCUCGAGAUUUGGCUUAAUAUAAACCUAUCAUCCCUCUAAUUUUAGAAGUCUUUCUUACUUCUUCUAUCACUUUGAUGGGACAAGAUGAACCCAUAGAAAAUGGUGAAUUUACAAUAUUAACCCUGUUCAACAGCUCUAACUAACCGACCAAAAACAAGCCAACCCAAAAAAACUGAGAAGGAAAAACUUGGGCUCCGUUUGGAUUAGCUGUUUUUGGGUUUGUUUUCAAAAACACCACUGUAGCAUUUUGAAUUUGAAAAACAAGUCCGUUUGAAUUAGUUGUUUUUUGGGUUGUUUUUCAAAAACUAUAUAAAAAGCUUUUACUGUAGAUUUUUUUGGAUUAUUUUUAGAGGUAUUUUUGAAACAUAUUUUUGAGUAUUUUUAGAAUAUUAUAAUUUUUAUAUUUUUAUAUAAAUAUACAUUUAUGCAUUUAUAAUACAUUUAUAUUUACAAAUGUAUAAAUGUAUAUUAUUAUAAAUGUAUAAAUUAUAAUGAAUAUUAUAUAAAUGUAUAAAUUAUAAAUUUUAUAUUUUUAUAUAAAUAUACAUUUAUGCAUUUAUAAUACAUUUAUAGAUAUUUAAAAUAAAUAUAUUUAUAUAUUCAUAUAAAAAUAUAUAAAUGUAUUAUAUUAUAUAUAAUACAUAAUAUAAAUAUAUUUAUAAAUGUAUAAGUGUAUAUUAUUAUAAGUGUAUAAAUUAUAAAUGAAUAUUAUAAAUGUAUAAAUUAAUAUAUUAUAAAUAUAUAUUAAUAUUAUGUAGAAAUGUAUUUAUAUAAUUAAUAUAAAUGUAUAUAUGUAUUAAUAUUAUGUAUAAAUGUAAAAUUAAUAUUAUGUAUAUUAAUAUAAAUGUAUAAAUGUAUUAUAUUAUAUAUAAUACAUAAUAUAAAUGUAUAUUUAAAUGUAUAAGUGUAUAUUAUUAAAAAUGUAUAAAUUAUAAAUGAAUAUUAUAUAAAUGUAUAAAUUAAUAUAUUAUAAAUAUAUAUUAAUAUUCUGUAGAAAUGUAUUAAUAUAAUUAAUAUAAAUGUAUACAUGUAUUAAUAUUAUGUAUAAAUGUAAAAUUAAUAUUAUGUAUAUUAAUAUAAGUGUAUAAAUGUAUUAUAUUAUAUAUUAUACAUAAUAUAAAUGUAUAUUAUAAAUAUACAUAAAUAUUUAUAUAUUAUAUAUAAAUGUACAUUUAUAUAAAUGCAUAAUAAUAUUAUAUAUAUAUUAUAUAUAAUUUAUAUAACAUAUAAUAUUUAUGUAAAUAUAUUAUAAAUAUAUAAAAACAUAUUAUAAAUAAAAUAAAAUAUUUAAAUAUGUAUGUAUAAAUAUAUAAUAUUAGAAAUGUAUAAUAUAUAUAAUAUACAUUAAUAUUAAUAUAAUUUAUGUAUAAUAUACAUAAUUGAAAUAUACAUAUUCAUAUAUAUUAAUAUAUAUUAUAAAACAAAAUUGAAUAAAUAUAUUUAUAAAUUUAUAUAUAAAUAAAUGUAUUUAUAUAAAUAUAUAAUAUUUAUUUCAAUUGAUAUAAUAUGUAUAAUAUUAUACAUAAUUGAAAUAAAUAUAUUUAUAUUAAUAUAAAUAUAUAUAUACAUAAUUGAAAUAUAUAUUAAAAUAUAUUAAAAUAUAAUUGAAAUAUACAUAUUAAAAUACAUAAUUAAAAUAUACAAAUUGAAAUAUACUUAUUAAAUAUACAAAUUAAAUAUACAUAAUUGAAAUAUAUUUGGAGUUGUUUUUAUAUAUUGUUUGGAUAUGGUGUUUUUGAAAUACACAUUUACUGUAGCAUUUGAAAUAUGAAAAACAGUUUUUCAAAAACAGGUGCAAAAACACUCAAUCCAAACGGACCCUUGGCAUUUUGGGCAUGACCAGCUGCCCUAUGUUUAACAGUUUAACUACAAUCCGCAUCAUGUAUUUUUGACUAUAAGCAAGUGACUAAUUAAGUAGUUAGAGCAAUGGUUAAGUUAUCUCUAGACACCGACUAAUUAAGCAGGAUGAAAUUAAACGUGGAAAGUAACACAAAUGCUUAUGUCUAAAUGGGAAGGUACCACAUCAAAGCAAUGCCAUUGUGUUCUUUUUUCUUUUUGUCUUUUUUUUUUAAAAAAAAUUGAAAAUAUAGCAUUCUACAUUUCUAUUCAAGAAAGAAGAAUUAAUUAGAUUGAUUGAAGUCAUCUUAAGGUACAGAUGCAAGCCACAAUGGCAAUUUUCUUGUAAAUAAAAAAGGGAAAUGUUUAGGCAAUUUAGUCCCAACAUAAUAGUUAGGCAGUUUAUUUAUGUUACAAUUCUAGACGAGUAAGGAAAUUGUCAACAUUGACAGUUUUUGUUCGGGAGACAAAAAGCUAUCAAUAAAAUAAACUCAAUUAGAAAAAUGUAAUUAACCCUAAUUAGAAGGGAUUGGUUGCGUUUAAUUCGUGAAGCCGAUGGGAAGGGGGGUCGGUAUGGUGUGUCCAAUUCCAAAUCCAACCGCUACUCCAUGCAGUUGCCAACCAUCAAUUGACAAGUGUCCAACAAUCUCCCUAAAGCCUUCUGACUUUUUUCUUUUUUUUUCUUUUGAGCGAGCAUUUUUUACCAUUCCACUUAAGUAUGUUUGGAUAGCAAAUUAUUUGGAUAAUUUAAAAUAAUAGCAUGAUAAUUUUUUGAUGUGAUGUAUAUGACAUAAAAAAGUGAUUGAAAAAUGUGUUGAUAAUGCAAACAAAUAAAAUUUUGUAAAAUAAUCCAACAUCCAAACAAGUGUAAUUACGAUAUCAACCCCCUUCAUCAAGGAAGGGUUGGAUUGGAAAAUGAGGUAAGAGUGAUUGUAAGUAAAAAAGUUUUGAAUUUAAAACCUCUCACUUUAAAAAAAAAAAAAAAAAACUCCAACGAAAAGUGAAAUAAAUGCAUAGAUAGAAAUUGUGGAAAGGUGUUUCUAAUUCCUAACAUCGUCUUGCUACAAGAUAUGUUUUACAAUCAAGGUGAAGUUCUCUCUCUCUCUCCUCCAAGGGUUUAUAUGCCCUUUUUCAAGUUGAGUAUGGUAAUAGUUUUUAGCAACUUUGUUAAAUUUUAGUGUCAUGCUCAUUGAUAUGAACUAAAUUAAUUACUCGAGUAUCUUAGCACAUUCAAAAAAAAAAAAAAUUUUCAAAAAUUUCAAGGAAGGUUUCUAACAUGAUUUCCGUAAAAUAAUUAAAUGAUAACUUUUUAGAGGGGAUUUGUAAGGGCAUGAAAGUCAUUAUAAAUUCAUGAAUACAAAAACAAGUUAUCAUCCAAAUCAACUGGAUCUUUCAGAUUUAACAAAGAAAAUCAAUUAUAAAUUUAUGAUAAAUAAAUAAGUUACCAUCCAAAUCAACAAGAUCAUUCAAAUUUAACAAAGAAAAUCAUUAUAAUGGUCAAAGAGUUGAACUCUCUCCUCAUAGAACAAGGUUCAAAUUCCGGCUGAGAGAGAGAGGGAAUUUGGUUCAAAUUCUGGUUGACAAGUUUGAGAUAGGGAGGGAAUAGGGGAGUGAGGAAAGUUAAAAAAAAAAUGAAGAAGAAAAUACCCAUUAUGGCUCAUAAAAUACACAGAUGACCUACCAUCCAAAUCAACAAAAUCUCACAAAAUAAACCCCAUUUUGUUGUACAUUAGAUUUUUCCAUUAUCAUCGAGAUUAUCUUAGUAAAAGCACUAAACGCGUGAGGAACCUUAUCAAUCAAAUACAUGUCAUUACUCCAUACCUUUUGGAACGUUACGCAAAUAUGGUGUGAUGACUAACUAUUUCCAUAACUUUGACCACUUGAUUUUCAUGUGAGUUAAAAUCGCGUGUGUGUGGAUGUGAGAUUAUUCAUAAAACUUUUUAAAUAAUACAUUUUUAUGAUAUGACGUACGUGAGAUAAAAAAAAAAAAAAACCCAUUCACUAAAUACAAACACAUGAAAAGAAAGCAUGAGAAAGUGAUACAUCAUUUUUAUGUUACCUAGAGUGAUGGUUGAUAUAUAUAUGAAUUAAUCAUCUUCUAACAUGAUCGCUGACAGAUAUUAUCAUAUCAAACCUCCAUAAUUUUUUUUUUGAGCUUAACCUCCAAAACUUGAUCACUUUUACAUUUCAUGUGUUAAAACAUACAGUAAGAUCAUUAGUAAAAAUAAAUAAAUACUACACAUUUGACUAAACACGAGACGACACCAUGCUGUAAACACCAAUAUAUAAUAGAGAAAAUAGUGACCAAUACAAGUUGGCUUAGUCGGUGAGAACUAGUUAUUUUCUCAUUGUAUCCUUAUAAAUGAUUUGUAGUCUCGGAGGAGCAUGCACUGAUCCAUGGUGAUGAUCGGAGAGGAGCCCAUUCAAAAUUUUUUUUAUCCAUGAGAAAAAUGGUGAAGUAUAACAUCUUUUUACCUUACUUAGAUGGCUCAUGUGUAAUAGAGUUAAUCAUUUUCCCUAGUGCUAUUAUCUAGAACUACUAUUUUGUGGUUACAAAUUAGUACUAGUAUUUUUUUCAGAGCAAUGACAAAUAACAAAAGCAUUUUCUUUACAAGCUAAUAAUAAAACGAAAGACAAUUAAUGAUGUAAACAAAAAGUCAUGCGUAGCUCGUUGAAGAAUUAACCGAACCUUUCAUUUGUGGCGUAAGAAAAGCAUCAACGUGUAAAAUCCAGAAUCUACGAAAAUUUGAAGUUGUACCAUUAUUAUCAGUACCUCGGGACGUCACCACACAAAGAUGCGUGCACCAGACAAGAAAAGCAGAGAAAGAGAGGCAGAGACAAAAGUACAAUUUUGACCCCAAAGAUCCCUUUUAUUAUCAACUUCUCUCCUCACCUCUUCAGAGCCGCAUCUCCUCUCCUGUUCUGCAGACUUUGAGUUGUUCUUCCCAUCAUCAGGCACCAGUAGUAGUAUUAUUCCUGGUGUGGAUCUAGGGUUUCUUCUUUUCUUCCUCGUAAAAAAUAUAUAUAUAUAUAUACACUUGCAAAAGUCGUACGAAAAGCGAAAGUCAUCAUCGUCAUCAUCAAUAUUCACAAAAUUUACAUAUGCAUAAAUUUCUUCGAAAAUUCACUUCAUCGUCGGUCGGACGAGAACACGUCAUCAACGAGUACAAUUUCGUCAUCAUCGUCACCAACAAGAAUCAGAAGAAAAGCAAAGCAUAGGAAAACCAAGCUCCUUUUUUGUUCGACCAGAUCUAAGAAACCCUAAUUUUACCAGUUGAUUAUUAUAUAUACUUUCUUGGGAAUUUUUUUUUUUUUUAUCUUUUCUGGAUUGAAAAACCUGGAAAAAUCGGACCGUUGAACUUCCAAGAGGAAUUACCACUACUGAGAUGAAAAAAUGGGACCGAUUUACUUGAUUUUUGAUUUUUCCACAAAAUCAAAGCGAAGGAAAGCCAAAUCCCUACCUCAUUGGAUGAAUCCGGAUAAAUCGGCAUCAAAUUGAUACUUUGAAUAAUUUGUUCAUUUUUUGGGGUUCUAUUUUUAAAUAAUGGCGGCGGCGGGUGGUGAAUUUGAUAGAAGGGGAAAGAGUACUGGGGGAAGUGGAAGUGUAUAGUAUUGAUGAUCAGAACGGUGUCGUGUGGGACAGGGACGAAAUUCGGAUCUCUGAGUAUUCUCAGCCAAGUGAAAGGUGUCCGCCACUGGCGGUGCUGCAUACUGUUACUUCUUCUUCGUCAGACUCAGGCGGGCUUUGCUUCAAACUGGAGUUGAAAGACAAGUCUCAACAGAAUUCGCCGCUUUCCAUUUUGCACGCCACUUGUCUCAGGGAAAAUAAGGUAUUGAACAAAGAACCUGCCACCUGCCAGAAGCUGGCAAUAAUUACUCAAUACUCAGCUCAGCUUUCUCUCCUGCUCUCACCUCUGUCUCUCUCUUUAGUACACUGAGGACUAAAGGAACCAUAAAAAUUUUAACGUUUUUUUAGAAGACUAAAUGAAAAGAAAAAAAGAAGAAGAAUCUGACUUGCUUUAAGUUGUUGGUAAAGAGGAGUGAAUCUUAAUUUGAAGGGUUAACGAUGUUCCCUCAAGUUGAGAAAUCGAAACCCUAAUUUUCGGAGUAAAAUAUGUGGAAACCCUAAUUUUGGAUUUGAACCUGGACUUUGGACAGGAUUGGACCUGGACCCUCAAAUUUCUAUCAGUGGUUUUGUUGAAUAGGACUGAAUGAACCCAGAACUGGCUUUCCAUUUUACAUGAAUUGGAGUGUACCCUGAACUGAUCUCUGUUGUUGUACUUCUGCAGACAUGAUUGGAUGUAUCGACUGAAAUACAUGUGCUCGGAAAAUUCUGCAUGAACAAUUUCUUUUUCCUUAGAAAUAAAUUGGAACAAAAAUGAUUCUUGGAGAGUUUUCAACCUUGAUCUUGUAUCAAAGUUAUUUUGUUAGAAUGUGCUACUGCAUAUGGCCCCAAGCAUAUUCCUUUUGUGGAAGCUGCAGAUUGUAUGGAUUGGGGAAACCAUAAUAAAGUUUGAAAGUGGGAAUAAAAUAUUAUUAAACAGGGUUGUUCUUUUCCCUCCUGAGGCUUUUAGAUUGCAUAUGUGUUUCUGGACUUAUAUUAUGUAACAACACUUUGAUCAUUAAUACUUCAAAGCCAUUAAUCUGUACUUAACUGAUUUUGUCACAGAAGUCUUAUCACCGAAAGGGCACAUGGGGUUUUAUGCCAUAUGGCUCUAAUUCUUUGUAUCUGAAGUUUUUGUACGUUAGAAAUAAUAAAUGAGUGAAUAUCCUCAUGCGACUUUUUCUCCUUGCAUUUAACUGUAAUUAAAUGCUUUUCUUCUAUUCCUUUUAGCAUUAUUUUGUCUUGAGCACAAUUUGCAUUGUAUAGCUUGGUUUUGUUAUUUCAUUGUCUGUGAAAGGCAAAUUAUUGUGAUCUUUCCUACACUCACUGUUAAUUCUGAUAUGUCUCUGUAGACUGCAAUAAUGCCACUUGAUGAGGAAGAUGAACUUCAUUUGGUUGCCAUGCAUUCUAGACAGCAUGAAGGACAGUUCCCUUGCUUUUGGGGAUUCAUUGUUGCAUCUCGACUUUACAAUUCUUGCCUUGUCAUGCUGAACCUUAGAUGUCUUGGUAUUGUAUUUGAUCUUGAUGAAACACUCAUUGUGGCCAACACAAUGCGCUCUUUUGAGGAUAGGAUUGAAGCCUUACAGCGGAAGAUAAACUCCGAGGUUGAUCAACAACGUGUUUCUGCUAUGCUGGCAGAAAUAAAGCGUUAUCAGGAUGACAAAAAUAUACUGAAGCAAUAUGCAGAAAAUGACCAGGUUGUUGAUAACGGGAAGGUUGUCAAGUCUCAGCCCGAGGUUGUUCUUGCUUUGUCGGACAAUCACCAGACCAUUGUUCGCCCACUUUUAAGGCUUCAGGAGAAGAACAUUAUCCUUACUCGCAUUAAUCCUCAAGUAUGUCAUGUGGCGUUUAUAUUUCUAUUGUAUAAUUUGAACUUUAUUAGAUAUUGACUUUGAUCAUGAAGUAGCUGUUUGGUUAAGCAUUAUGCCAAAUUACUGCCCAUCCAUAGUUUGUAGUUUUGCUGUAGUUGUUGUUGCUGAGCAUAGGAUAGUAUCCUAGCUGGGUGAGGGAGUUGGAGAAGAGUGUGGUGAAGUGUUCAUAGACCUUAGAGGCUUGUGACUUUUGCUGGUCAACUUAAUUAGCUUGUUGGACUCUCUUACUCGGGCUCAUAUUUAUGUUUCUAUUACCUCAGAUCCGUGAUACAAGUGUACUUGUAAGAUUGAGGCCUGCAUGGGAAGAUCUCAGAAACUACUUAACCGCAAGAGGUCGAAAGCGUUUUGAAGUGUAUGUUUGCACAAUGGCUGAAAGGGACUAUGCUUUAGAAAUGUGGCGGCUCCUUGAUCCUGAUUCAAACUUGAUUGACCCGAAAGAGCUAUUGGAUCGUAUUGUCUGUGUCAAGUCUGGUGAGUUUCAUAGAGAUGUCACUUUUAUUUAGCUUGCCAUGAGGUUUUUCUUGGUUACAUUUGAUUGCGAUAUUUUCGGUGGAUUAACUGUAUAUAAGCAUUUCUGUUUAGGCUUGAGGAAGUCGUUGUUCAAUGUUUUCCAACAUGGAAACUGUCAUCCUAAGAUGGCAUUGGUGAUUGAUGACCGGUUAAAAGUGUGGGAUGAAAAGGAUCAACCUCGAGUGCAUGUGGUUCCUGCCUUUGCUCCUUAUUAUGCUCCUCAAGCUGAAGUAUGUACUGGAAACUACUGUAUUCUUUAAUAUCACCCUCAUCUAUGCUUCUUAUUGUUAUUUGUUUAAAGUUAACUAAUGAUAUCAUGAUGCCAAGAUUAAAUAAUUUGUGCUGUAGGCCAACAAUGCAAUUCCAGUUCUCUGUGUUGCAAGGAAUGUAGCGUGCAAUGUCAGAGGUGGUUUCUUCAAGUAAGGUUUUGCAACUUCUUUAGAGUUGAGAAGUACAAGCACCAUAUUAAUGGCCACUCUUAGCAUAGUCAGAUUUUAAUUUAUCAGUCUGCAUAAGCUUUUUAACCUGAGAUUAUUUGUUGCAGAGAAUUUGAUGAGGGUCUCUUGCAACGAAUUUCUGAAGUUGCAUACGAAGAUGAUAUUAAAGAAAUUCCUUCUCCUCCUGAUGUGAGCAACUAUUUAAUCUCAGAGGUUAGUGAUGGCCAUACUCUUGAAACACUUGUGCAAUCAGAGUAUGCACUUGCUUGCUUUUUUAAACAGUCAUUUUGCAGUAAAUUACUUUGGAUGUGUUUCUCAAACAUUGGCUGUUCAGGAUGAUCCUUCCGCUUCAAAUGGAAACAAGGAUUCACUUGGUUUUGAUGGCAUGGCAGAUGUUGAGGUGGAAAGAAGAUUAAAGGUGAGAGCUUUUCUCAAAAUUUGGUUUCUUUACUAGUGCUUAUUGUUUGGUUGAGUUUCCUCUGUUAUUUUUCGGUUUUACCGAGUAUAUGAUAUCUACUUUUAUGCACUUGAAUCUGUUUCCCAUCUAUGUUAGGCUAGUGAUUGAUCUACUAAUUAUUUUAUGAUUUAGGAGGCAAUUUCGGCUUCCUCCACUGCUCCUUUGGCAAUUCCAAAUUUGGAUCCAAAAAUUGUUGCCACAGUCCAAUAUGCUGUACCUUCUUCUAUUUCUGUGCUGCAACCAACGAUGUCAGGGCCAGUGGUUCCCUUUCCAUCUCAGCAGUUGUCUCAAGUGACUUCUGUCCUUAAAAAUCCUAUUAAUCAAGCUAUUCUUCCUCCAGAAGCAAGCUUGCAAAGUUCUCCUGCUAGGGAAGAGGGUGAAGUCCCAGAAUCAGAGUUAGAUCCUGAUACAAGGAGGAGACUACUCAUUUUGCAGCAUGGUCAAGACUCAAGGGAGCGCACAUCAAGUGAACCUCAGUUUCCUGUACGCACACCAUUACAAGUCUCUGCACCGAGGGCUCAGGGACGUGGUUGGUUUCCAAUUGAUGAAGAGAUGAGUCCAAGACAACUUAACAGAGUUGUACCACCAAAGGAUUUCCCUCUGCGCUCAGAACCUAUGGAAAUUGAAAAACACCGUUCCAGUCACUCUCCUUUUCUCCACAAAGCAGAGAGUGCUGUCCCACCUGAUAGAGCUUUUCUUGAAAACCAGAGGAUGCUGAAGGAGGUAAUUCAUACUUCUUUUAAUAUGAUUCAUGGGUUUGAGCUGUCAUGUGAAUGGUGCUGAUGUUGUGGGAGUUUCUUUGUGCAGACACUUCCUAGAGAGGAUAAUUUGAGAUUAAACCAGCCAGUUGCCAGUUUCCCAUCAUUUUCUGGUAAGCCUUGAAUUUUCUGUGCUUGUGUAUUGUAAUCACAAUUAUGUGGGACAUCUCAAAGUAAUUUUGCAGAGUGAAUUGCAGACUUUGUUUGGAUGAGUAUGUUGUUUACAUGCUUAACAUUUUUAGAAAUAGAUCCUCUUAGAGGCUUAUUCAUAAUUUUUUUUUCUAUAAAAUACCCCACUUAGCAUAGAAGUUAAGCUCUUAUAAUUAAUAAAUAUGGAAUUUUGCAAAUGCAUCUUAUGUCUGCAAAAGUAUGGAUAAUGUCAGUAGAAGUUAGCAACUUUUAGUAAUUGAUGAAGUUUUGAACAACUGACUUCAUUCUGCGUGUAAAAUUCCUAAUUCUGUUGCCCGAUACUUGAUACAUAUUAUUCCAUUCUGUUUUAGAUAGCACAUACAUAUGAUGUGUCCUUUCACUAGCAUUGAUCAUUGGAGAAGAAGGCUCUAAAUUGCACGAGUUAUGAAGUUUCAUAUGUCUUGGAUUGAGACUUGGGGGUGCAAUAGAUAUUUUUAGUGAGUAAAAUUGUGUUAUAUGGUGGUUGAAUUUUUAAAUUUGGCUAAUACUGUCCUCCCUGGUCAUAAAUAUUUAAGUUGCACUUGAAAGGGAAGUAUAAUUUUUUAUCCCUGUACUAUGACUCUUCAGUAACAGAUUCAUUGAGUGGGCAAAGCUUUGGUUAAAUUUUGCAAUUGAAUGGUUCUUGAAUACAUAGAGUUUGAUAUUUGUUACUAGUAGUUAUGGAGGAGUGAACCGCCUAUCCACACAUUAAAUGGCAGAAAUACUUGCAUGAUGGUUUGUUACUGAUUCUUUUUUUUUUUUUUAAUUUUUAAUUUAUUUUUUACUAGAAACCUAUCUAUGGCAGCUUUUGUAAUUAUUUGAUUCUGGGUUAUUAAUGGGCCAGUUAUGAACUUUGCUGGCAAAGACAUGAUAUCUGUGCAUUGCCUGUUUGUAUUUUCGGAUUUAUUCUUUGUCUCUCUCUCUGGGGGGAAAUGAGAAAGUAAAAGGAAUUAAUAUAAGGACAUUUUGGACGAGGGUAAUUUGAUUGUCAAAUAAAAAAGAUUUCAUCUAGUUUUAAUUUCUCAUCUUAUAUUUGGUCAUCUGUUGCCGAACCAUCUGGAUCCACCAGCAGUAAUGGAUUUGUGAUCUCUCUCUUGUCCUCUUCCUCUAUGAAUUUGUAUCAUAUGAAGGGUCUUGUACCUUUUAAUAGUUUAUAGCAUCCAGUUCAUUGUUAUUUAAACAGGAUAGGUUUACUAUAAUGGAUAAUUCGUUUGGAUGUCUGAUGUGCCCAGAUGUACAUGCAAUUCAAAAAUAAAUAACAAUGAAGUGUAUGUACUUUUCUCUGCUUAUGUUGGGACAUGCUUGUGAUGUAUUUAAGUCCUAAAUGUGAAAAUGAACAGGAUUGGUUCUUCCUGUUGGGAAAAAGGGUACAGGGGAUUGAACUCGGACUUAAAAUUCAGUGUAGCAUAAGGUUAUUGAAAUUGGUGCUAACUUGGCCUUGGUGUUUUCCAUAAAUCUUAUGUAAGGCUCUUGUGGAGUGGUAUGGAAGAUUUUGAUGCAUUUUGUUGACAUUUUGGCAUAAACCCAUCAUAUGCUAUUAUAUUCUUUUAUGGGUAAUUUCAUAAUCUGAUGUAUGUAAUGAAACAUCGUUUUGUUCUUAUUUGUUUUUUGGGAGUUGCAUUUUUUCAGGUGAAGAAGCUUCCAUGGUUCGAUCAUCUUCAGCGAAUAGAGAUCUUGACCUUGAAUCUGGACAAAUUGAUCCGCAGGCUGAAACACCUAUUGGAGCUUUGCAUGAUAUUGCAUUCAAAUGCGGAACAAAGGUAUGAGACAAUUAGACACCUCUUGAGAGUCCCAGGCUUUUUAGCUUUGCUUUCGUCUGGAAUUCUCAUGCCUGGCUUGUUUGCUCACAGGUGGAGUUCAAGCAAGCAUUGGUUUCAAGCUCGGAGUUGCAAUUCUGUGCAGAGGUUGUUUAAAUUCUUCAUGGAUUGAACAAUUACAUCAGUUUUAACCAUUAACCUUGUUAAUUAGGAGAAAAUAUAAUGAUUGAUAUACAUAUUUUGAUUUAUGUUAUUCUCUGUGUGUGUGUGUGUUUGUGUGUCCUUGUCUCUUUCUUUCAUAUCACAUUUCCGCAAAGCAAACAGAUAAAAUAUUAGUCACUCAAAAUUUAAUACAAAAACAAACAUGGGAAUGAAGACUUAGUUUCAAUAAAUAGUAUUUGAGUAAUCAAUAUAUAUCUGAAAAAGUCCACCAUUCCUUCCAAAAAAUGAAGAAAUAUAAAACCCUUUGGACAGAUUUGCCAUAAAAGCAUGCAUUUUUUCACAAUGCCUCAACGUUUCUGUAAUAAGCUGUACAUUUGGUUUACAAAGUUAUCUUGAUUACUACGUGCAUGCUGGACCUUGAUCAUCAUGUUUCUUAUUCCCUUUAGGUCUGGUUUGCGGGAGAGAAAAUUGGUGAAGGGCUAGGUAGGACCAGAAGGGAAGCACAGCGUCAUGCUGCUGACAGUUCACUUAUGAAUUUGGCUGGUAUGUUUGUUGUUCUUUACAUUGAGGUUUAAAAUGCUUUCAGGUUUUGUAUGCAGUUUACCUUUUGAUCCAAAUAUAAUUGACUUGUGAUGUGAUGAUUCCGCUAGCCCAAGGAUGGGAAGAGUUGGGGGGGGGGAGGGGAGGGGGAGGGGAGAGAGAGAGAGAGAGAGAGAGAGAGAGAGAGAGAGAGGAGAGAGUAUAUUUCGAUAUACUUUUGUUUGGGUUCUAUCUUCUGAAGAUAUAUGUAUCUUUUAUUUGAAUACAGACUGGAAAAUCUUGUGUUAAUUCUCGUGCAAGUAAAGCAAGGCAGGUAUAGAAUGUUCUAGAAUUAUUUUGUGAUACAUCAAGACACGAAAUGGCAUAUGCAGUUCUGUGGCUUCCAUGUGUUGAACUCUUAGCUCGCUUCUUAGAGUAGGAACUGUGGAGUUUGACCUUCCGUUUUUCCUGGUUUUCUGACAAAUAAGUUCAAAACUUCUUUUUCUUCAAAGGGACAAGUUUGAUAUUCAGCUAUGGAUUCAUUGUGAUUAGUUCACACUUGAGGCUGCUUUAAUAAGUUUUUCCCUGUUUUCAUUGAGGUUUAGCUUGUGGUAGCUUUUUCAAAUAGUUAAUUGAUACUAUGGGAUUACAAUGCAUUUCCUUUGAAAGAGUUUAUUCUUUAAACUUUUACUUUUCUAUUUCUUUUUCUUAAUGUACUAUUUUAAUCUUUGUAAGCCACCAUAUGCAAGAAGCUAGCACUCCAUUCAUUUCUAGUUUUUGAGUUGGAACGUUUAAUAUCUGGCAUUUUGUAUAUUUCUGAGACACUGAUGCUGAUUCCUGAAAAAUUUUGCUUCUUGCCUCAAGUUUGUUUGUGAAAAAGCACACUUUUAGUUAUUCUUUUAGUCUUUUUUGAGAUGGGUAAACUAAUUUUAAGGAAAAUGAAGAGAAAUACAAAAAAGAAUGAGCAUGUUGAUUCAUGGAUAUUUCAGCGUAUGCUUGUACAUACCAGCUACAUUGAUGUCUGGCUUUGUCUUAUUGAUGUUUAAGUGAUUUAUGACUGGCUCUGUCUUGAUGAUGUCUAUUUUGCUAGUUUUGUUUGCUUCCCUGGGAAAACCUCAAUCAAUUCUGGUAUGUUUUGCCUGGGAUGGAAGGGAACCUUUGAUAUAACUUCACCUUCUUAAAGUUCCUGUUGUUGCUUGCUGAGUGGUUUGACUGGUAGAGACUCCUUUGCAGAUAAGUAUAUAUCAUCUCUCAAACCUGAUUCCAGCUCUGUUCCUGGGGAAUGGCGUAGAUUCCCAAAUACAUCCAACAAUGGUUUUGCCAACGAUUUUAGUUCUUGGGGGUAUCAACAAUUGCCUAAGGAGGAGCCCGGGUCAUUUUCUACUGCAUCCAUGCCUCCUAGGGUGCUGGAUUCGAGAUUGGAGGCGUCCAAGAGACCUGUGGGUCCAAUUGCUGCCCUUAAAGAGCUGGUAAGAUUCUAGGAGCUGCUGUGAUUCCUUUUCUGGGAUUAUUCUUCCACUUGUAUACUUAUGAUUUCUCUUUAAUUCUUAAGUGUUCAAUGGAGGGCCUUGGCUUAGCUUUCCAAACUCAGCCUCAGCUUUCAGCUAAUCCUGGCCAAAAAAAUGAAGUGUAUGCACAGGUGAAUGUUUUCCUCUCAAUUAGUAGUUGGUUUUUGUGUCAUUUUCUUACAUGAACCUGCUUCCCUGUUUUUCUAAUUCUUCUUGUGCAAAACGAAAGCAUUUGGCUUUAUGUUUAUACAGGACGAAUAUGUCAAAAAAAGGAUGCUUACAAAUGAUUGGUAACUUCACAUGUGUAGGGUCUUUCAUCUACAUUGCAAAGCUUAUGAGAUACCUCUAGAUUUAUGCUCGUUGGUUGUUGGACUUUUUCGUGAUCCUAAAUACAUAUUUGAGGUCUUAAGCAGAUAUUGUGCUCUUCUUUGCACUGGAUGUACAUAUCUAACUACUUUUGCUCCAUCGUGUGUUCGAAUGUCUUCCUUUUUGUCUGGAUUUAAUUGCUUGGACAUGCUGAUGCACCUAUAGGAUUGAGAUAAUCUUUUCUCUUAUCCCUGUUUACUUUGUUUAAUCUGUGCUGUUGAUCAUGCUCUAGGUUGAAAUAGAUGGACAGGUGUUAGGAAAGGGAAUUGGGAUAAACUGGGAUGAAGCAAAAUCACAGGUACCAUGUAGAUUUGUUUCUAAAUUUCUUCUCCUCCUCAAACAUUCUAAGUGGAACCUUUGUGCCCGGCUGAAAUGUCGGAAGUUUAUACUCAUUCUGCAUGAAAUGUUGAACUGAGUUUUCUUGUCUAGGCUGCUGAAAAGGCCCUUGGAACCUUGAAAUCAAUGCUUGGUUCAUAUGGUCACAAGCGUCAGGGCUCUCCCAGGUGAGUUGUUUUGCCAUCACAUUGUUGUUACAUUAGAUUGUCUUGUUUUCUUGUCAAUAAAGUGGACUAUUUCGCGUGCUUUAGGUAGAUGAAAUUCUACGAAACUGUCAACAACCUUGAUAGCAUAAUUACAUGCUUGUUUAUGAUGCUGCUGCAGGUGUUUUCUCAGCUUUCCUAGGCUACUUCCACUUGCUUUAUGUUUACUAACUGCUUUUUCAUCAGACCAUGGCAGGGGAUGUCAAGCAAAAGAUUGAAACCGGAGUUUUCCAGGGUUCUGCAGCGGAUGCCAUCUUCUGCAAGAUAUCCAAAGAAUGCUUCUCCCGUACCGUAAUUCUUCAUGUCCUAAUUGCACCUUGGCAGUAUAGCAUCUGCAGAGAGACUUGUAGCUUAUGCGGUGACACCAGAGAAUUUGGAGCAAUGAUUAGGUCAUGUUCCAACCAACUGUUUUAGAUCAGUUUUACAGGCUGCGAAUUUGGGAGCAAUGAUUAGGUCAUGUUCCAACCAACUGUUUUAGAUCAGUUUUACAGGCUGCUGAUAUAGUUGCAAGUUUUUGAAGACAAGGGAAAUGCUUUGCCAUAUUGCUGCCGUUCAAAAUUGUACAUGUUGCAGGACGUUCGUGGACUACGGUACCGUAGGAGUUUGUUGCGCGAGGGUGCAAAAGGCCCUCACAAACCAAUUGGGAAGGAAAACGAGACGGGCACUGUGUAUAUCUUCUUUUCUGACAUUGAAUGCAGCCAUGAGCCAUGAAUGUGGUAGAGCUGUGUCCCUCGAAUUUGUGUUCGAGGUGGUUGUAUAAUUAUACCGGGAAUAUGGAACGCUUUCAUCGGGUGUAGAACGUGGAUUUUGGAGAGGAUUCACUGAAUGCUAACAGUACAUUGGUUCAAUGGUCUGGCUCCUAUUUCACUUUCUGGAUGAAAGAUGAAAGUGAAAGUUUUGUUCAGUUUUAGGAGCUCUUUCUUGUUGAUGUUGAUGUUGAUGUUGAUGUUGUGCAGGGUCACUGAUCUGGAUGAUACAUUCCAUUUCACUUGGCCAAUCCACCCCAGCCCAAUGAUAAAUUGGCUUUUUCGGCAUUGUGUUUCAUGUUUCCUUGUUUAAUUAGUUAAAUUACUGCUAUCGUCCAAGCGCAUUGACAACAAUGGGAAAGGGGGAUAACUGUUGAAGCUCAGCAACUGUGUAGACCACAGAAUAUAUGAAAAGAACGAAAAAACAAAAGAAAUUGGAGGUAAAUGAAAGCUCGCAUGAUGGAUAAAUGAAAAUUGAGAGAAUACACUACUCCUAUAAUUUCAACAAUAUCAAAACAUUUUUAAUGGACUCGCGUGUUUUUUGGUCGAGCAAAAAGCAGAAAACGCAUAGCUGUUUGCGCAAAAAUCAUUCAGGUAGGCUCGCAAAACAAAAAUUUCUCAAAACAUGUUUAUAUAAGGACUUAUUUGAGAAUCAUCGCGCGGGAAGGACGCAUAUCAAUUUCUCUAAACUUGGUGUAUGUGAUGUUUCGCAAAACUUUGUAUAUGAACAUACGAUGGUUUGUCGUGGUAGGCUGGUAUUCUGUCAAAUAUUCUCUAGGGAAAACUGUCAAAUAUCUUGACAAAUUAGGACGACAAGGACGCAAAAUUCUCUCAACAUUAAAUUCGGACCUCAUAAUAUAAACAAAAUCUUAUCCCAACUAUUUAGGAAACACCAGACAACUUUUCCUAGAUUUGUCUCCUUUAACAGAUCUUCUGCUUCACUCCCAAAUGAAAUGAAACAGAAGUUUCGUUCUAUUUCAUUCUUUGCAAAUCUUUUGUAGUAAUCUCUGUAUUAUUACCGUUUAACUGAACUUAAUGAACUACAGACGACUUCAUUAUCAAUCACUUAAAAUCAUCACUAAAAAACAAAAAAUUUUAAAACCAAAAUUUUCAAUAAGAAUGAAAUCCCACUACAACUAUCUUAAAGAAAAAUCAUUUAUUUCUGUGUACAAACAAAAUAACAUUCUACUUCCAAAUCCCAAUCUUGUUAAACCCUUUUUAUUCUUAAAUGUUUUUGUGAAUGUGUUGCACAUAUUUUCGAAUUUUGAAUAACGAGGAAUCCAUUCUUAUAUGAAACACUAGAUUUAAUAAGUAUCUUUUGAAAUCAAAAAAAAAAAAGGCAAGAAAACAGUUUGCAUCGAAAUUUAUCAAGACAAAAAAAAUCCCAAUUACUCUACCAAGAAAAAAAAAUAGAGAGAAAUAAACUCUAAAAUUUGAAUGUCAGAAACAAAAUACAUACCGUAAAUACUACCACUAUAAAAAUUAUUUUAAAAGUAAUAAUAAUGAAAAUAAUAUUCUCAAGUGGGAGGAGGUUGACAGAGAGAGACCCCUCACCAUCCAUCAAUCUCAUUGCUUCUUUUUAAAGCAGCAAUCACUAAUCACUAAUCAAUAGUAUAUAGUCACAGUAUUAAAUUGAAAAAAAGAAUCCACUAUAUAAACUCCUCUUAUACCAAUUAAUGAGACACACAUACAAAUAGGUGUGUGUCUCCAUAACACAGAAAUUUCCAGAGAGAGAUAUAGGAACAGAAACAAAGCAGUAAGAAGAAAAGAAGAUGGCUUCUUUUGAUACAUUUAGCAUCGACGGUGAGGAGCAGGCGACGACACGUCAGUUCGAAGACGGAGGUUACGGUGGGUACGACUCUUACACGGCGUUUUCCUCCGCCGAUACUCCGCCGUACCAAAGCGGCGGCGGGGGAGGAUUUCCAGCUGGAUACGAAGAAGAGGAAGUGACGGUGGAACACUCUCCCACUCUGUCAACAGUUCGGAUCCGUUCGGAUUCGAGGCGGAUCAGGAAGCUGCACCGUUUGAGGGGCCGGGGGCUCCAAUUCCGAAUGGAAAUGGGAGGCCUUAUGAUCUCGGGGAGGAUACGGAGGGGAUUUUUAGAUCCGAUGGACCUGUGCUGCCACCGCCUACUGAAAUGCAAGAAGAAGGCUUUGCUCUCCGGGAAUGGCGGAGGUCAGAUUUUUGUUUUUGUUCGUUUUUGACAAAGCUUUUCCUUUCUUGAGAUAAUAUUACGCAUUUCUGUUAGUGAAAUAUUUAUUGCUGUUAUAGAUCUUUGUUAUUUUGGUCUUUUACUAUUUUUAGUUUUACUAAUCUGGAGCCCAAGUUCAGAUCUUUGGUUUAGAUUAUGACAAUUUGAACUAGUUGCUCAUAACUGAUUGGUAGUAGAAUUUGCAUGGUAGUUUGUGAUCAUGAUAAAAUGUGAGUGUUUGUCGCUUUUUGUUGUUGUCCUAUUUUUGGGUGUUUUUUUUUUUUUUGGGGGGGGAGGAGGAGGAGGGAGGGGGUAGUUUAUUUGAUUUGAGCUUUGAGGAAAUGAAUCUCUGGUGAUCGAGUUUGUUAGAUGUACAAGUUCAGGAAACCACACAUCCACUUUUCAGGCACCCUUGUGGAAUUUUAGGGACUUUCCCGGUUACUACGAGCCUUGCUGCAUGAUUUGACAUGGAAUAGCUUGUUGCAAUUCAAAUUAAAAAGGGGGAAAUUUUUUUUUUUGGUUUCGUUGGUAUAUUUUGGUUCUUGUUCAAGUGAAUCAAGAAUUAAUUUGCUUUCUAUUGGUUUCAGAUGAUUUAAUUAAGUACCUACAGAUCGAGAUCCUUGACAUAACAAUUUGGCUACACUGUUAUGUAUCUAAUAACAUUUUGUGUGGUUGAGAUGGUAGAAUUGGAUCAAUAAAUCAUAAAAAAUCUUAAGAAGGGUUCAUGUACAAUCAUGCUUGUUGAUUGCAUGCCAUUAUUGCCUCCCCCCCCCUCUUUCUUAAAUGCAAGAAUAAGCUCUAUAAUUUGCAUAAAGUUUAUAGGUUAUGUAUCUUAAAUUUAGACACAUCGAGGCUAGAAUUUGAACUCAGAGCGUGAUCCUUGAGUUGACCAGAAUAUGCUUAGACUGUUGGAUUCUAAAAAAUCUUGAAUGAAGCCUUCUUAUAGGUUAUCUUUUCCCUUUUAAGAAAGAACCUAGUUGCGAAAUUUCUCAAGUCAACUUUUGACAGAUCUUGACUGAUAGUUGCCCUCGAGCUCUGCUCAUUUAGGAAAUUUGAUGUUUGACUAAUGUGGAAAGCUUGAACUUGAUUUUUGAGCUUGAGCUUUUAUACAAGAAACCAUGUAAUGCAAAUAUCAUGAACCUUAUAAUCUGCUGGACAUAAAGAGCAAUUUAAGAAGAUAUAAUGUAAUGAAUCUCUAUUGCUAUUCCUGAAAAAGUAAAAGUAUCUAAUAUUUAAUUUGUUGCUGAGCCUAAAGCAAGCGUAGCCUCUGUCAAGCCUAUGAAUGUUAUUUGAUGUUGAAGCUCAGCCAUCAAAUUAAACAAAUGAGUUCCCAGUUCCCAUCAAGCAUACUUGAGCUGAACGAAUAAGCAGUGUGUGAACAGUUGUGUUUUGAAACAAUUCUACUGAACUGUCAAGAAUAUUAGGGACGGAAUUCCCUCCCUCUCUAUGUCUCCCCUUUUUUUCUUCAAGAAAACUGGUCUUGAAUCAUAUUAAGCACUUCCUUCUCUCUUCCAAAAUUAGCAUGAAUGUUUUGUUAGAAAAUUUGAUUGAAUGUCAAUCAGAUCUGUUGGACUGAUCAACUAUAUUCUUUCUGAUAUAUAGGUUGAAUGCUAUUCGACUUGAGGAGAAGGAGAAGAGGGAAAAGGAGAUAAGGAACCAAAUUAUUCUAGAAGGUGAAGAGUACAAGCAGGCUUUUUAUGAGAAAAGAAAGGUUAAUAUUGAGACCAACAAGAACAACAACAGAGAGAAAGAGAAGGUAAAGCUUUAUUUGGUUUUAGCUUUAUAACCCAGAUUUGAGUUUUUGUUAAUUCUGCAUUAACCUGGGGUCGUGUAUUGUUAUGGGCAAAUUGCAUGUUAGUCCUGUACUAUAAUGAAAGGCAAAAAAAAUCUUAAUUUUUUCUAAAAUGUAUGAGACAAGAUUAUACAUGCUUUUAGUUGUUUGUCUCAUUUCACUAGUAUAUCAAAUUACUUUGACCAAGUAUAUUUCCAAACUGGGAGGUUGCAAUUGCUAAAUGUCAGGCUGCUACUAGAGCUUCUUAUAAGCUGAGUGAGAAUUGUUGCAUCCAGUUGGAGCUAGACAGAGUUAUUGAUAGUGGUCCUUUUUGAUUAAACAAUUGUCAUUAGAAGGAAAGCACCUUACAUGAGAAAAAGCUCUUAUUUUCUAAUAAAACUGAUAUUAUUAUCCUUGCUGCUCGUGUGUAGUUUUUGUCCCAUUUCUUUGGUUGAUUACUGAUUCUUAGUCAAAAAAUUCAAUAGAGUCGUUGAACUUUCUUGUGACUCAAAGGUGCUUUACUGUUAUUUCAACUGAUAGGAUUGCGCAACAGGCAAAAUCACUUCGUGUAAAAAAUUUUAUGGGCUGAGAUGCAUCCGUAAAAAAAAAAAAAAAAAAAUCAGAUUUAUACAGUAUAUAUAUGAUUUUAAAAGAUGACUUCCUGAGAGUUUAAUUUGGUCUAACCUUCGAAUCCAUCUAUUUUUGGGGCAGUUGUGCUUGGCAAGUCAAGAGAAAUUUCACAAGGAGGUUGAUAAGCACUAUUGGAAAGCCAUAGGAGAAUUGAUUCCGCAUGAGGUCCCGAAUAUUGAGAAAAGGAGAGAAGAAGAACAAGAGAAGAAGCCAUCAAUCACCGUCAUCCAAGGACCCAAACCAGGCAAACCCACCGAUCUUUCAAGGAUGCGCCAAAUACUAGUGAAGCUCAAGCACAAUCCCCCACCUCACAUGAUGCCGCCUCCGCCUGCUCCUUCCAAGGAUGAUAAAGCUGGGAAGGAUGCAAAGGAUGGGAAAAAUGCAAAGGCCAAGACUGGAAAAGACGCUGAAGCUAAUGCCAAGGGAUCUGCAGUCGGUGAGGCAGCUGCCGCCCUCACUAAAGAAAAAGAACCAGUUGCUAAUGGCUCUGCUCCCACAUCUGCUGAAGAGACUGAAGCUGUGGCCAGUGAGCAGCCUGCGAAUUAAAUUUCAAUGUUAGCUAGUCUUGAUAGUGCCCUCCGACAUCCUUUUUUUGCGUUUAUGCCGAUUAUUGUGAUUGUUAUUUGCAUGCCAUUUUAUGAAUGUACGUACUGUUUCUGCUAAGUCGAUUCAGCUCUCUGAUCCAUUAUGAGGACUUGUUAUUGUGUUUUUGAAUUUUUAUUAUAUUGAUUGAGAUUCAUCUUGUUACUUGAAACUUGCUCUUAAUCUCCGGAGUUGUGCAGCUAAAACUAAGACCAACGAUGUUUGCCCAGAAUCCGCAUCUUUUUUCAUGGUAUCAACAGUGUGGCUUCGACUACGCUGGAGUAGGUUUGACUAUUCGUUGCUUUUCUCCACCCCAAGAUCAACUCUCUCUCACAUGCGCAGAAAGAAAUUCCUAACGCCAAACAACUGUUGCCCUUUUGUGUCAAUGCUUACGCGCCCCGUUUUAUGUGAAAACUGGCAAACCGCAAGUAACAUAAGUCACCGAAGGGAACUUCUUCUGUACCAUUAAAUUCAUCCUUCCUCCUACCUCCACUGUGGGUUGUGACUAGGGCUGCAAACGAGCCGAAUCGAGUCGAGUUUUGAGCUAAUCGAGUCGAGUCUCGACUAAAUUUUAUCAAACUCGAACUCGACGAGCUGGCAAUUUUCGAGCUCGAGCUCGACUCGAAUCAAGUCGAGCCGAGCUCGAGCUCGAAAAAAUAAAAAAUAAUUAUUUUAUUUUUAAAAAAAUAAAUAAAAUAAUAUGUUUUUCUGAAUAAAUAAUAAAAUAUUAAGGAUAUAUACGUAAUUUCACUAUGAAAAUAAAAAAUAAAAAAUAUAUAUAAUAUACGUAAUUUUAUUAUUAAAUAAAAAUAAAAAUAAAAAAAUAUAUAUAUACUCAAACUCGCGAGCCGGCUCGCAAGCUAAUGAGUUUAAUAUUCUGAACUCGAGUUCGAGCUCGAAUCGAGCCGCUCGCGAGCGACUCGAUUCGUUUGCAGCCCUAGUUGUGACGUCCUAAGCCGUAGAAACCAUUUGUUGGCUCGCGAGCUAACGAGUUUAAUAUUCUGAACUCGAGUUCGAGCUCGAAUCGAGCCGCUCGCGAGCGACUCGAUUCGUUUGCAGCCCUAGUUGUGACGUCCUAAGCCGUAGAAACCAUUUGUUUUCAAUGAGAGUGGAAGGUCAAUAUGAAUGAAUUUACUUCUAGAGGCAAAAAGGGCAACGCGAGGCAACUGCCUUGAUGGUUUAUUUGAAUCUAAACACUUUUCACAUCUCUCUUUUCCGGCAAGCCAUAAAAAAUUAAGUUGGUACCCAACCAGGCAAGCUUGAGUUGGUACUUUUUCCUGAUUGAGUUGGUACUUUUUCCAAAAAAAAUUAAUUCCUAGGCAAACGUUUCGAUAUUCAGUUCACUUUUUAGGCUGCUCGUACCCAACCCAAGCACAAGCGCAAAAUCACACCUUGAUGAAUCAGAUUUUCUCCCACUACUAAUCUCAAGCUUGAGAAGAAUGGAUCACCGCUCGAGUACACUUCCAUUUUCUCUGACUUGCUCUUUUGUACUCUUUUAUUUUUUUUAUUUUUAUAUUUAGGGGGAGUUGUUGGUUGAUUAAUGUAAAAUUGGGAUAGCUUUUCAAAUGAGACUAGCUUCAUUCCAUAAAUCUCAACACUUGCUACUUCUAAAUAAUUUACAUAUUGCAAACAUAAUAAUAAUAUGUUUGCUACAGCAAAAUUUUUUCAGGGGUGGAAACAUCAACGGACCCGGAACAUCAACUUGCUCGGCUAGUCUUAGUUAAGGCCAAAAUCCAGUCGUUGAUACAUGCACCAACCAACUCCUCCGACAUGGGAUCCUUUGGACGAUAAUUUUCUCAUUUGUGUUUAUUAGCUCUGAAACUCUGGUUUACGAAGAAUAGAGGCCUGAGGUGAGGCCUUAGAUUAUAGCAGCAACUGGAAAAACACCAAAUGCAGCUGAAUUAUAUACUCUAAAUACAGAUUUACCAGUGUCAUUUGUCUCGAUAAUGACCCAUACACUGCUCUACGUAAUGAAACUCUUUUUUCUUAUUUUGUGUCCCCAUCUGAAAAUGAAUCAAGGCCAACAUAUUAAGGCCCAAGUGAAUAAAACCUCAAAAUCAAAUAAGAGGAAGAAGAAACUCAAGAAAGCACAUUAAUCUGAAAAAGAAAUUACUCCUGAUUACUUCCUAGUUUUCUAUAACUUUAAUUUCUUGUUUGACACUCAAUUAAAUUGUGCCCUCUGCCAUCCUGGAGUAAGUAUUGGACCCUGGAAUCAAUUUUCAUCUAGCUUUGACCUGAGUGAUACUGACAGGAACAGAGCUCAUCUGAUAGCUAGUAGAGCCUUCAGACGACUUCUCUUUUGACUGUAAGCUACUAAGCCCACCUGAUUCUUGGAAGAAACCUGGGGGUGUAAGUUCCUUCUCAUUAAGCCGGAUGUCUCUCGAGAGCAUCUCUAUAACCUGGCUCAUCAACGGCCUUCGAUGCGCUUUAGCUUGUGUGCAGAAAAGGGCUACCUUCAUAUACCUAAGGACCUCUUGCUCAGGAAACUCCUUCAGUUCUGGAUCAACUAACUCCAACAACUUCCCUUCUUCGUAGAAUUGCCAUGCCUAUAAAAGCAGGUAAGUUUAUUCGGAGUUGGAAACAAUUCAAGAAGAAAAAGGCCGUGUCUUCAACCAAACGCUAUAAGCAAAACCAUACAAUUGGAUACUUACAAAAUGAGGAUACAGAGAAAUUCAAUUAGUCUGUAAAUGUGUGUGUGUGUGUGAGAGAGAGAGAGAGAGUUCAGCGGCAAUUCAACUAUAACAAAACAUAGUAACAACCUGAGUAGACAUAGCAGGAGCUAUAUCAGCAAAAGUACCAUAAGGAUUAUAUGUUUCAUCACUAGAUUUACCUUUUCUGAUGACUAGAGUUUAGACCAAGGUAUUCAGUUUAUGUGUUUUAUUCUAGGGUCACAUUUGUCAUGUUUCUCUAUUGGCUAGCGAGAAGGUCUCCCUGUUGUUUCUAACUUAUGGUUACAUCCAAUUGAAUCUAAGGCAGUUUUAAGUUUGGGGUUACAAAGAUAUUUAUUACAAAGGUCAGGUUGCCUCUGCUGUUUUCUUUUUCUUCGUUCCUUUUCCCCCUGUUCGAUGUUCAGGCAUGAGGCAUGGACAAUUUGUCAAAAAAAGUCCCUUGGCAUCAAGUUCAUUGUUUUCUUGGUACUCUAGCAAGAUUUAGUCUGAAGAUUAAUCCCUUUUUGUCCCCUUAACCUUGUCUUCAUGUUGUUGUCAUCAAUGAACUCAAACAAAAAAUCCAAUAUAACCCACGUUUCUUGACGUUCUCAAUUCUUGCCAUUGAUGGAUACAACCAACCAAUGGUAAACUUGCUAAAAGGGCAAGCCCUGUUGGCAAUUACUACUAUAGUGGCCAACUAUGCCAAAAUCUAUCAGAAUGUACUCUUCAAGCAUGCAUUCUAACUAAUGGCCUUAAGAGAGUUUGGAGACUCAGCACCAUCAAAGUUUUCUCCCUCAUUGAGAUGGCAGUAUGGCACAUCAAAGCACAAUGGAAAAGACCUACUAUCUCCAGAUGCAUCAUGCUUACAUGCACAUCUGUAUUCUCUAUCAUGUACUUAACUAUAUUCUAUGUGAUUGCAAUGUCCACUUGCCUAAAGAACCACAUACAAGCUCUAAGAUGCAAUUUAACAGAACUGGAAAAAUCAAAAUCUUAAAAAAAAUAAAAUAAAAGAAGUUUUCAAAGAGUUUCAUGAUAAGAUUUCAUCAAUUGAUAUUCUAUGUUUGACUUCUUAAAUUCUGAUGAUGUGAUUUCUUUUUCCUCUACAAGAUUCUCUUCACUUUCUGCAUAUUCUGAAAUGUGUCAGUUGUUAGUCGUACUAUCAAGUUAAACCUAGGAACAUUAAAUCUCUUUUCAACAAGCCAAUUUUAUAGAUAAUAAUCAGGAAUAUCCAUUCCACUAUUAGUAAGACAGAUCUUUGCAACUCUUUUAAUCCCUUGAGAUCAAAAGUUGAUUAAGCAAUUUCUACCCCCAUAAAGCUGCAAGUGGUGCCUCUCUCUCUAAGCCUGAUCUGCUUAUUUCUGUAGUGUUAUGCAAAUAUGUAUCGCCAUUUUUCUUUACUUCUAAAGGACUCCUAAUCAGGUUAUGUAAUUCCAAUAUCAGAAGCCCAUCAGAAUAGUCAAAAGUCCCAAAAGAAAAGGGGAAAAAUAAAAAAUUAUUUUUCAUAUACACGGUCCCCAGUGCCAGAAAUGAUAUGGAAGUACAAGUUUUCUACAUUCUCUAUACUACAAAGUAUGAUCAUCAGAAGGAAAUGGCAAGCAGAUGUAAAAAGAACAACUCAGAACUAAUAAUUCCCGUACUUCCAGCAAUCAUUAUGUAAACAACAGGGCACGAAAACUCCACAAUUAGUGCAGGAUAUCCUAUGAUCUAUACUGUAGGUACGGUCCAAACCUUACAUAAAAAGUCACUAUAAAUUUCAAAAGUGAGACACGCACCAUUUUCUGAAGGAUCUUCUUAGCCUUUUUGUUAACAUUUUUAGACAUUACUGUGAGCAGUCAACACCUCUAAAAUGGGGAAAGGUUCUGGCAGGAUAAUAUCAUGUCAAUACACACCCCUAGGUAAUGCUGCUUUUUAAUUGAAUAAAAAUCAUGACUAGCAGCAAGCAAAUGCACAUGAAUAACAGAAUAACAGCAAAAGAGGUGAAGCUGCUGCAAUGAAACUUGAGAUAUUUUAGAUACCUCUUCCAGAAGUAAUUUCCGUGCCCCUCCCCAGAAUGAACUUGAACUGCUCUUACCGCUUACAACUUCAAGUACUACCACACCAAAGCUGUAAAUGUCAGCCUUCAUUGUUAGUUGACCACCUAAUGCAUAUUCAGGCGCUAGGUAACCUCUGCUUGAAAAACAUGAAAGAGUUAAAAAGGAUGAAGUAACCCCUGCUUGAAGAACACGAGAGCUAGAUACGUGCAUUAGAUGAACACAACUUCCACAGUUGACAAAUGCAUGCUCAAGAUUAGAUAAAAUUUGGGUUUCAAAUUCUUCAAAUCUAUGUAUAAUUGAAGGGUAAAUUUCAGAAAAAGUUUAGCAUUGGAAACUCCCCAAAGUUAAAGACCAAACUGACUCUAUAAUCCUCAAUAGACCCAGCGCAGUUAGAAUAGAUUCUGUAACUCAUGCCAGUCACACAAUGACAACUGAUUCUGCCAAAUGUUGCAGUUAUAGAAAAUUACUACUGGACUUUAGUAGAAGAACCACCUCUAGGAUCUGAAAAGCAAUUCUUCCAAUCUCUACGUAUCCAUUUUGCACAAAGUAUUGAUUCAUAAGCAUGUUUUAACAAGACCAAUCUAUUUAGCAAUAGUCUUCCAACGAUGAAUAAAUGCAAAAGUUUAGUGUUACGUAGCAGAGCAAACAGAGUUUCUAGAACUAUAUUGUAAGUAACUGAAAACUUCUACUAUCAACAAGAGAGGAGACAUACGUUGUCCCUGCUAUUUUGUGCUGAUGUGGGUUAUGUCAUCUGGAAAAAGUUUAGCCAACCCAAAAUCUCCAAUUUUUGGUGCAAAGUCCUUGUCAAGAAGUAUAUUACUAGCUUUAAUGUCUCGGUGCACUAUGUGUGGCACAAGUUCUUCAUGAAGAUAUGCAAGACCCCUUGCAGUGCCCAUGCAGAUAGCUGUUCUUUUGUUCCAUUCCAGAUUUACCACCCUACUUCUACCUACAAAAUGGAAAAAGUAUUCAAUAUUCAAUUGAGGAUCAUUAGUUAUCAAUGAAUUCCAAGUUCUUGCAAAAAUUUUCAAAUACCAAGUAGUGCAUUAUCAAGGCUUUUGUUUUCUAAAUACUCGUAGACCAGUAUCCUGUCAGGUCCAUGUACACAGCAUCCGAUCAUCCGAACAAGGUUUGGAUGUUGAACAUUUGAUAUAGUUUCAAUCUCAGUCAAAAAUUCACGCACACCCUGCUUCGAGAAAGCAGAAAGCUUCUUCACAGCAACUGGAGUUCCACUCUUCAGUUUUCCCUAAGAAAUUACAGCAUGGUUAAGAAAGUCAAGUCAAAUCUAACAGUUCCAGAAAAGAUCAGAGAUAUGCUUCUCAACUGGAAAGCCAAAUAUAGUUGUUUGAAUUGGCAAAAAAUAACUUCCUGGACAAUCCAAACUACUUUAGCAUGAAGAUGAAAUCUUGUGACUCCUAUGGAAACAAGCAUCUUUUUUUACGAAUGUACACACUCACAAAUAAAAGAACCUAUGUAACUUCAUGCAUUAUAUUAUCAAUCUACGCAUUCUUCAUACUCUUUCUUUUAAAUAGUAAAAAACAGAAUUCCUGUGGAGCAUUUGAGCUAUAUGCCACCGAAACAAAUUAUAUAAUACAUCAAGUAUAGGAAGCCCUCUCUGUAUUAUUUUACUUCCAGAAAAAUUCAUGAAAAGACCCAGACUUCCUAUUAGACAGUUCAGGAUGUAAUUCGGUGAACAAUAUAUGGCAGCAUGAACAAGAGAUAAUUUCAUCUGAGAAACUUAUAGCAACUACCUUGUAAACUGUCCCAAAUCCUUGUAAACUACCUGAGAAACUGCAAAUACCUUGUAAACUGUCCCAAAUCCUCCUCGCCCUAUCUUAUUGCUUUGAUGAAAGUUAUCUGUUGCUGCAUUUAAUUCAUUGAUUGAGAAGUUCUUUGUCUUACCAAGUAAAAUCCCUGUUAAUAGAACAAUUUAAGAAUCAUUUCUGGCAAACAGAUGUUGGAAAGUCAAAAAAGUAAAACUCAAAGACAUAAUUAUUGUUGACUUUUGCAAUGUUAAGUAUGUAGGCGAGAUAACAGCUUGAAAUUUUCCUGGACUGAGAGAAGUUUCAGUUAGUCCUUCUAAGUUGUCAGGUAUAACUAUGGUUCCAAUACACAUACGUUAAGCAAGAUUGCUCAUACUUCUAUUUGUUGGUUCUGAAAAAAUGCAAAAAGACUGAUUGUAGAAAAAACAUUAACAAGUUUGACACAUGAUUGAUAAUUGGUAAGAAAAAAAAGAUUAAUGCAUUUGUUGGUUUUAAUCUUUUAGCAUUAUUGAAACUAUUAUGCUGAUUAUGGCAUCCAGCCCAGUCAUCAAUCUGUAGGAUAACAAAGUCGGAAAGAAACAGGAAGAAAGAAAUAUGUUGCUAUUUCAAACCCUAAAGGUCAUAAAGGUGAUUGAGUAUAUCUCUGUACUUAGGUUGACCACAUCUCAGAAUGAUCAUUAAGCUAAAAGAAAAGAGAAAGAUGCAUCUUUUAUGAUCUAGUUUGAAAUAGUUAUCCUAAAAGACAUAAGAAUUUAGAAAACUUCUUAAAAGCCCCUCAACAGCAUCACAUAACAAGCUUAUGACCAAGAAAACUUCAGACUUUGAUGUUUGGCUGACCACAAUUUCACAGAUGAAAUAAAAAUUCUUCAUGCUGCCAGACACCAUUGCCUUGAUCAGCAUCUUAGGAUUUAGUCAAUAUGCACUUUGAUGACUGGUUUUAUGUUGUUCAAAGUACCAACCAUUUGUGAUAAUGUGAAAAUGUUGAAAACUGAUAUACAAGAAAAAGAAUUCACCAACAAUAUCAUGAUUCUGAGAACAAUGUACCAGCAAUUCAUUUACAUGAAAGCAAAAGAAAAUCCCAACGUCAAAGAAAUUGACAAUUAAAGCAAACAAUCUGAUGUCUCUUCUCUAUGCUGUGAAAAACGUCCAUGAAAAAUAUUCUGGAAGGCAAAAUAAAAGAAACUAGUAUGAAACAACACUAACAUCUAUGAUGUCUAAACUGUAAUAAAGCACUCACCUUCAGCAUCACCUGUGUCUGGACGAGAAUAAUAGUUAGCCCUAUUCUGCUUGGUACUAGAGGCACCAAAGCAGCAACAACCCAUGUCCCUUGGCAGCUUUAUGAUAGCAAUUUCAAAAUCCGAUCAUAAAGCCUCUCACAUUCAUUUUCUGCAACCGUGACCAUCCAUCUCCUCAAUAUGCCUAAAGCGUCCAAUCAUGCACUGAACAAGAAAGAGAAGAUGCUAUAGGAUCAAUAAAAUCUUUAUAUAACAAGAACAGCUUCCUAAUAUUAAAACACUAAUCAAGUUUAAAAAAAAUUUAAAAAGAGCAAAAAGCAACGCCCUUUGGCAAAAUUCAGAAACAAUAAAAAAUAUAUAAAAAAGAGCAUCACUAAUUACGGAUGCAAUUGAAGACAUCACUCGAACCAUUUCAUCUACUUACAUGCAAAUGAAGUCGAACCCUGGCUUUGCAUUUUCAAUUAGGCUGACAAUAUUUAUUUCGUUUGUUAAAAAAUCUGCGGCAUAAUCCAUUAUUAAUUAACCAAAUGCAAAGUAGUGUUGAGCUUAGCUCAACUCCAUAAUUCUUCUUUUUUUUUUUUUGGGAACCGGAGGCCGGGUGUUGGGGGGGCGAGAAGAAAUCCAGAAUGAACCCCCAAAAAUUUAAAUAAAAAAAAAAAUUCAAUGGAGCAUACAAAAUUCAACCCAAAUACUAAAAUUUUAAGAGGAAAAAAUAUUGAAAGAUCAGAGUAAACUUACAGAUUAGAUUGUUAGCUAAAAAGGGUUCAACCAGCAGCGUCCGAGGAGGAAUUUGGAGAAUAGUAAUUAAGGAUUUGUAAAAAGCUAAGACUUGCAAGAAAUGAAUAUAUAGGAAUGAACUGAAAGGGUUCAAAACGACAUGGUUUCUUAGACGGUUUUGGUGUGAAACGGCCAGGAGUCAUCCCUCUCUACCAGCCCCCCACUCCCAGAUAAUCAGCGUUUUUCCACCUUGACCAAAAUUUGGUCCGAGGCUACUAACUCUUUAACUCGUAUAUAUGGACAAUGGAUCUUCAAACUAAAGCUAGAAGGUCUGCGCGCCGUGACUGACUGUAUUGUGUGUGUCCACACUUUUCACUGGGUGUUGGUGACACGCUCUGAAAGUGACCUCCGGAUUUGUACGUGCCCAGGUUGGCCGGCUGUACUCAACCAACAGGUGUUUUACUUUGCUCUUCUUCUUGCUGUCCCCAACUCAAGUUUACUCGGAUUCAGCCACCGGAACUUUCUUACCCAACAUUUGGGCUUUUAUUGGGUUUUUUCUGGUUUUUACCAAGCGCGUCUGGAUUUCCAAACAUAGGACCAUGCAAAGGAAGAGCAAACAAUCCUAGGAAUUUCCAAAAGAUUAGACGCUGAGUCUCCAGUAUAUGAAAUCAAAUAAAGCUGUUUGUAGGUGCGCCCGCACCACUUUAGGCCUUUUUGAUAAAUAAAUUCAAUUGUUAAAAUUUAAUAGAUUCGAGUCUCGAUCAAGUAAAUGACACCGAAAUUAAGUAUUUGAAUUAAUUAUGUGAUAAUAAAUUUUUUAGGAAAAAUUUAUUAUCACAUAAUUAAUUCAAAUACUUAAUUUCGGUGUCAUUUAAUUGAUUGUAAAAUUUAUUUUCAAAAAUAAGUUAUAAAUCAUUCACUUAUUACUUAAUUUGAUAUAUACUUAAAAUAUAUAUAUUAGUUUUGUAUUUAAUAAUUUAAUAAAUUGAUACUUUAAAUUUCAAAUUUGAAAUUUCAAUUUUAGCAAAUGUAUGCCAAGUCAAUGGGGGAUGAUUAUUUAGUGCAUCAAUAAUAUGCUCUGACCUUAGAAUGAGACCAACCUUCCCUCCUCCUAAGGUUCUACAUAAAAAAAAAGAUUUUUUUUAAAAAAAAAAAAAAAAAAAAAGAGAACUCUAAGCAAGAAAAAGAACACGGGGAGAGAGCUUAGACUCGAAUUAAGUACUCCACUAUUUUUUGAAGUUGAUGAGUUGUACACAUGUCGUGUCAAAUUUUAAAAUUCUUACAAAAUUUUCCUAUAUACGACAUGGAGUUAUGUAGUCUAGACUUGGAUCAUAAUUUUUUCUGUAAAAAACAAAAAAAAUAUUACGUUUUUCAUUACUAUAUUUUUCAAUCACUUUUUUAUUUUAUAUGUAUCAAGUCAUUAUAGUAUAUUUUUUUACAAAAACUCCUAACAAUAACAAUCCAAACGAGACCUAGUGGAGUUCUUGAACGAAUUUUGAGUUAUACAGUACUAUAUUAUAUCUUUUGAUUCUCGAAUGUGAAGACACCUUUUGUUGUAUCUCUUCAUUCUUAAAUGGAAACAUCUCGUAGGCUUCUACAGUAUGAUUUAUAAGCCUAGGUACAACAGCUGCAUUGAAAAUUUUCACCUGUUUGUUAUAAUAUAUAAUAUUUGUUAGACACAAAUUUGAUGAAAAGUCAAAAGGUGAUUAGCUUCAGCAUAAUGUGAAACAAAGGUUAAUACCACAUUUGGGCACUUGCCUAUUACUACUUCCCAUCUUACGAAACGAAACCGUAUGGAAAGACAAAUUCUAGCUGCCCUGCAAAACCUCAAUUAAACAGACCUCUCUUUUGUAUUUUCAUGUGUUUAUAAUAUGGCUUUCAUUUUUUGACUAAUUCCUUUUUCUUGACAUUACGUUUGACUUUUACCUUUUUUUCACACAGGAAUUUAGUGGGUUUUUUUUUUUUUUUUUAAUUAUCUGAUGGUGAUAUGAAGUUUGGUUUUGAAUAUACUAUUUAUUAUAAAGGAAAAAUGGUCAGAUACUUGCCUAUAGAUUUAGGUCAGAGGGAUGAGUACUGGCCUUUGAAGUUUGGAAGUUAAAUCAACCUUUGACCACAACAAAUGCCUAGAAUUCUUAUGGAAGUCAAAACCAGGAUUUGAAAUAGGCUGGCGUUUCUAAUGGGUUUUUUUUUUUUUUUUUUUAAAUGAGAAAUUUUAAAUUCAAUAUUUAUCGUUUAUAAUUCCUUUUAACUUCGUUUAUAAUAGGGAUGACGAGGUGUGUUGCAUAAUUACAUUUUUCAAAAGUAUUGAACGCAGUCCAACAAUACCGUCAUAGCAUCAUCUAGAUUGAUGACGAUUAUUGGCUUUGGCUUGGCUCCAGGAUUCAAGUUCAACAGAAACCGACAAGAAAAAUGAGCAUCGCGUCCAAUUCCACUAACAUGACAAAGGGCACCAACUGGUUUGCAUCGACGUGGCUAUGUUUGCAGUCACGAGAAGAAAAACGUAGAAAACUCUGAUGGAGUUGGACAAAGAAUUUCGUGACAAUGCGUUUGGAAAUUUAAUGUGUUGCAGGUGCAAUUGGGUGACCAUUCGUCAGUCAGAGUGAGUUGAUUUGCAAUUUCACUCUAAAUUUCUUCUAACCUUAUGUUACAGGAUUACCAUUUUCAGGGUAAAUGGUAUACCAUCAAUCCACACAGUAUGUUUGAAUAGUUUAUUACUACUACUUAUAAAAAUUUAUUUAAUUGUAUCAUAAAUAUUUUUUUAAAUAAAUAUUUUUUUUUUAUCUUUACAAUCAAUUUUUUUUUCAUUUCAUGUACAUCGCAUUAAAAGGGUACACAAUCAGUCAGUCAUAAUUAAUUUAGUUGGUAACCAAAUAACAGAGCUCGGAAAACAAUAAAAGAUUACAUGUUUCGUGUGAGAGUUGAGAAAUGAAAGGUAAAGAUAUGAUGAAUUACAGACGUGAAAAGCAUUACUAGUAGGGUAGAAUGGAGAGACGUAUGAGGAUCUUCCAUCGAACCGAUGAAAGAGCACUUUAGACCAAGAAAAUUCUUGGAUGGGAAUUGUCCCCAAAUCAAGAUAGAAAAAGUGAACAUGUUACUGCUAAGAAAUUGACUUAAUUUUUUUUAGACAGAUUUCUUAUUCUGCGUAAAAGUAACUAGUUUCCUAAUUGUUUAAUCAAAGAAUUUUCUAUUUGUACGAGUUUAAGAAUUAGAAAUUAUUUUUUAUUCAGGAUGAAAUUAGAAAUUAGCGGUUAUUACUUGGGUGUUAGUCAAAUGAUGCAAUUUAUAAAUGGGUGGAGGUUGGCAUGCUAUAAAAUGACACAUAAAUGUGACAUGUAUCCUUAUAUAUGGGUAAAAAAAGGUUCUUGAAAAAUGAAAAAUUAUACAAGGGUUUAAAUUGGGUUCAAGUUGUAUUCUUAUAUAGGGUUUUUCUCUCAUAAUAAAUAAUUACAACGUAAGCUCAAUGAUGAAAUCGAGCACGUUAAAUUUUAUGUGUCGUUUAUCUUUCAUACUAUGACGUAAGCUCAAUGAUGGAGUUGAACUAUGUAUAUCUUGUGUCGUUUAUUUUUUACUUAUGCUUUAUUUGUCAUUAAAUUGUUAUAUUCUUGAUAUUUUAAGAUGCAGUGAAUUUUGUGUCUGGAUCUCAACUGUUAUUACUAUUUGGAAGAUUCGGCCUCCUGGAAUUCUCAACUUGGCCCGUGACCCAAAAAACAGAUUGGAUCUGGGUUGACUUUGGGCCAAGCCCUGAUCCUUUGAUAGCCCUAAGGAAUUAUCAGUGAUGGGCUCAGUUGAAGCUAGGUGGCACCCGUGGCUAACAUUUUAGUCAAUAAGCUUAGUUGGGCUUGAUUACUGGUCCAGAGAGAUGUGGUUCGGGGUGCCUUCAGAGUGUUUUGAUCCACAAAAAAAAGGCUUAGUAACAGGUUUAACAAGAUACGUCAAUUGAAAUGCCCAUGCAAGUUAAUUUUAGUACAAACGUCGGAAAGUUCCUUCUUUCGCCCGGAAAAGAGCUUCUUACAUUGUGAAGGGCUUUGUUCUUACACAAUACUGAAUUUUGAGCACAUUUGCUGGUACAUGAAGAGUAGGUCCUGACAAUUAUUAUUAUAUUGUCCCUGUGGAGAAAUUAAUCCAUUUGGACUGCUAUUUUUUCGGAGAUUUUGUAGUAAAAUGUACUAUAGUAAUUUGCUCUUAAACCGAAUUUUGAGCACAUUUGCAGGUACAUACAGAGUAGGCACCGACAACUAUUAUUGUCCAUGUGGAGAAAUUUAUUCAUUUGUACUGCUAUUUUUUUUAGAGGUUUUUCAGAAAAGUUUAUUGUAACAAUUUGAUCUAUUUAAAAUAAAAAAGUGAUUAAAAAAUAUGUUACCAAAAAGUAAAUUUUUUUAGAGGAAAAUAGCUUUAUCUACCUUCCAUGACAGACACUUCAUUACGAUUUUAAUCAUAAACUAAUCAUUGGAUCCAAUUCUUUUUUUUUUUUUCUUAAAGUACUAAUGAACAAGAAUACAAUAAUGUGCCACAAUUAGUCGGCCAUUCAACUGUUUUCCAACAGAAAAAGAUUGUCUGGAUUGUAUAUUAUUUUCAUCUUAUUUACACGCACGAACUUACUUACAUUAUUAAUAUAUUUUUUAAUUAUUUUUUAUCUUAUAUACGUCACAUUAAAAAAAAUAUUAUAUUAUUUUUUUUCACAAAAUUAUCCCAAAUAAUCUCCCAAGCAAUUAAGCAUGGGCCCUCCAACAAAUGGGGACAAAAAAAAAAGCAAGAAGAAAAUAUUGACCCAGGCGAGAGAAAACAAAACGCAGAACAAGUACUCCUCUCCCACAAUUCGCCCCUGUGCCCUUUUUUUCUCCCCCCCUGAACACCUGGAAUCUGCUCACUUGGCUCCUACUCACUCUCAAACCCUAACCCCACUUUUCCACAUCCCUCUCUUUCCUACGCCCAAAAGCAUCUUUCACACAAACACGCACAACACACACACAGUGCUUCCUGUCGCCCUCAAUUGCGACUUUCCUUCCACUUGUCUGUCCAUUGCUCACAAUUCCAUUAAUUUAAUUAUCUUCUACUAUAUCUCUUUCUAUAUAUAUAUAUAUAGGGCUUUUUGGGCCUUUUCUCGGUUCUAUUCAGAUGAAUGAUUCAAACCCUUCUCCACAUCCCUCCAAGGACUCUGCUGCUGCUGCUCCUGCUCCUGAAGAAGAAGAAGAAGAAGAAGAGAGUCCUCGUCUUCUGCUAUUACUAUUAUUUCUGCUUCGGUUUCUGUAGAAGCUUCCAAGGGUCCCGCCGAGAAGCCUGAAAUUACAGCCGGAGAGGAAGAACCGCAGCCCAUGGCGGUGUCGGAGAAGGAGGCCGCUGCGGUGGCAGGGCCCCCGGAUGAUCAUAUGGACGUGGAUAACGUGAGUCCGGCGACUGUUUUUUGUAUUAAGCUGAAGCAGCCGAGGUCUAAUUUGCUUCAUAAAAUGAGCGUUCCCGAGCUUUGUCGUUAUUUCAGGUGAGUGUUGUUAUGUUCAAUUAGUGAGCUUUAGUCGAAAUACGUGCGAAUUUUGAGGAAAUUGUUUGGUACUUUUGUUUCUUCGGUGGACAUUGUUGCUCGAGGGGAAUUUUGAGGCGCGGAAGUGAUACUUCUUCGGGUUGAUAAAAAUGUCGAAUUUUGGGUCCUAAGAAGGCAAAAUCUAGGCUAUUUGGCCUACUUGGUUAGCAUGGUAAAGAUUUAAUCUGGUUUCACAAUUACCUAAGUCAUGCUCUUUCUUCGAUUCUUUAUGAAGUUUCUCGUUGUUUUAUUUUAAUCUGCCACCGUGGUUACUAGUGGCUGGAUUGGUUCAGAUGUCAAGUUGAUAACUGUCAAAGCUGGAUUUUGGAACUAGAAAGGAAAACUAUUUGGUUGAUUUGUGUUUCAAAUUCAAAAUUAAGCAAACGAGUGCUUUUCUAAGUAGCAGGGCAAUCAGUGAAGAGCUUAAUAAAAGACUGUUCCAGAGUGAUGCAGGAUGUCUGCCUAAUUAAUCAGGAUAUGUUUUUGCUAUACUUUCUGCUAUUAUUGUUGCCAAUUAGGUUUAUUUGCUUGUUUACCAAGGUUCGCAUUGGUUGUCUUAUAUGGGUCUAAAUGGAUAAUUUUUAGAUUUUUUUGUUCUUUUUUUUGGGGGGGGGGGGGAGUUGGAUGGUUGAUGCUAUAGGUGGCAUCCAUUGCAUUUUUUAUAAUCAUCCAAUUGAAUUCCAUUUGAAUCUUUUUUCUAUAGAGAUUUUUUUGUUUUAAAAAACUAAACUUUAUCUUAAUGUAGAAGCCAAAACUGCAAUAAAGUGAAACUUUCCGACAGGUUCCUCAAGAGAACCUAAUUAGCCAGUGCAAUAUUAAUUUUAGGUUCCUUUUUCUUUUUUGUGGAUUUAUUGGUUCCUAGAUCCAACAGCAUGCUUGUGAAACAUUUUUAAUUGAACACUUACUCCUCAUUGUGAAGCUGGUUAUGUGUCUAAAGAAAGACUUCGAUUCACAUUAUGAAAAAAGAAUAAACGAGAGGAGGGCAUUCUGCCUUUUACUAAAUGUCAACAACGAUUAAGUUUUUACUAUUAGUGGUUUUGUUGCUGUCUGAUAAUUUCUUCACCUUAUUUUUGAUUAUUAACUUCUAUUGUUUUCUUUCCAGCGCUGUUGCUUGGUGCGGUAAGCUUAAUGCAAUAGCAUGUGCAUCGAAACUUGUGCCAGAAUCCCAAGGUUAGAACGCUCUUGUGAUUAUUACUUGUCUUUGUAUGUUAUUUUGGAUUCUAAAUAACUUCUCUAAUUAGACAUAUUUACUUGGAUAUGGAUGCAAUUCUUCUUCUUGCCUCAAAAGGAAGGGAAGAUGGAGUUUUAAACCAUCAGUUAGAAAUAUAGAUUGUUAAUCAACUGGCUUUCUUGUUUUUCAUGCUGCUUCCUUUUUUAGUGGAUGACAAAUUAUGUACCCAUCCUGCUCCUGGCUUCCUGGCAGCAAAAAAGAAAAAAAGUAAAAUAUGUGAACAAUUUGAUGAAAUUAAAAAUGAAAGUCUUUGCCAAUGAUUAAUGAGAUUAAAUGAGCCAAAAUCAGUGUGAAGAGAAUUUGAUUUUCAAUCUGUGUUGGAAAAGGUUUGAAAGCUUUUACUUCUAGUAAUAUGAUGCUAUUGCUAUUUUUCUGUGAGAGAAUCUUGCAGAGAUGCCCUUAUUUGCUCAUAGUUGUACAGUAGAUUUUGAAGAGGCUAUCCAUUCAUUAGGCAAACAAGUCAACUGCAAAUAAAUUUUUUUUCCUUGCUACAUGUGUGGAUUGUAAAAAGGGUUGAAUUGCUUGCACGGGAUAGAAAAGAAGAGACUAGCAAAACCAUCUUGGGGUGAUUGGGAUUUGUUAGAGAUUUGUUUUGUACUCAUAAUCAAUAUCUUUUCCGCAUCAUUUAUAUCUUACUCAAUUGUUAUUUUGUUUUCUGGUAGUUCAAACGCAAAUCCUCCAUUUUGGAUUCCUAUACAUAUAGUGAUCCCAGAGCGACCAACUGAGUGUGCAGUAUUCAAUGUUGUAGCAGGUACUAGACGUGACUUGCUGAGAUUACUUACCUUAUUUAUUGGACUUGGCAUUGUCAUUUCAAAUGAUUAUUUUGUGUAGUGCAACCUUUGGUCACUUUGCAUAUUGGGAUGCAGUCUGAUGCUACCCCUGGAUAUGGUUUGAGAUGAAGAAUUUUAGCAUGUUUGAUGUUUGAUUUGGUUUUUAAUUUUUGAAUGCUGUUCCUCAUUUCAGUUCUCAUAAUAUCUAGAACAAACUGAUCUUUUUAUAUCCUUUUGGAUCUAAAGGAAAUCUUUGAUCUGUGUGGUUUUUAGGCUGUGUUUGAUGGUAGAAGUAUUACAUUUCUUUUCAUUGUAUGUGAUCCUUUUGCUAUUAUUAGAUAUGUUACUAAUACUAUUUUCACACCAAAAAAUAAAUGCUUAGAAAUCAACUUGUUUCUUUGGAGAUAUCUGCAGAUUCUCCUCGAGACUUGGUUCAGUUUAUGGAAUGGUCUCCUACAUCCUGCCCUCGCUCGAGCUCAUAGCGAAUUUUCAUGGGAGGAUAACCAUCUGGACCCAACCUUCUCAAGUAAGAAAUUAUUUCUUAGCACAACAGAUCUAUUGCUUGCAUGGCUUCUAAUUUGCCACUAUCUGCCUGCUUUCAUUUGCAUCUCUGGUAUGUCAUUACAUUCUCGUUUUAAUUUUGUUAAUUCCCAAAUGCCUCAUGUUCUCAUCCACUUCACAUCUGGUUUGGUUCCUCAGGGUCCAGCCUGUAUAGUAAGAGAUGCUAGCAGCUGCAUCUGGAAUAUGAGUGGCGUCAGGAUAUAGCAGUAGCUACAAAAUGGUUGUCAGGUGUUUCUCCGGUAUGCUAUUUUUAUAUUGUUAAUUCUAAUUGAAAUUGUAUUUGCUCGUUUCUUUCUAUUGCAUUAAUUUUGUAUGCUAGGAAAUUAGUAUAGGUGGCUAUCAUCGAGAUCUGCUAAUUCAGGAAAGUCAACUUUUGAGGAAAAAUUCCUUUCCAGCAGCCAGAAGCUCCAGGUUUGUCACUCCUCUUUUUGCCAGUUCUUGUCUGUGGGUCUGUCUUAGACUUGUCUAUUAAUAUGUGGCUAUGUGCAUCACAACGUAAUAACCUUAUUUCUAUGCAUGUCAAGUUGUUUGUGUUAUGGUGUUUACAAUAUGGUGUUUGAACAGGAAGGAUGAACUUGUCUCGGCAUGUAGUGUUGUAGCCAUUUCUUCAAUCGCCAAACUUCUCUAUUACCUGUUGAAGCCCCAACACCUGUGAACUAUUUCUUUUGAUUGAGGGGUGGAAGCCCAACAAUAGAGAGAAUGGGAGAUAAUUUCCUCACAAGCGAAACUGAAUCCCUUGUGGGAUUGCAAAUGGUUUUCCUUUGCAAUACAGGGUCAAUAGUUGUUGAUGAGUCUUUGACAUCAUUAGCCCAAACAUCUUAAUGUGGAGCAAUGAUUUGGCUCACCAUUAAAGCUGCCAUUUCUUCUUUUUUUAGGCUACUCCUUUGAUUUUAAGAACUCAGUGAGAUGCUUUAACCGAAUGCAAUGUUUUCGGUUUUGAUGACAGCUGGUUGGCCAAAUUUCCUGUGUGUGUGCUCUGUCUUCUCAUCUGGAUCUGUUCAGCUCCAUUGGAGUCAGUGGCCGCCCACUCAAAGCGGUACACCAUCAAAGUGGUUUUGCACAAGCAAAGGGCUCUUGGGAGCUGGGCCGAGUGGCAUUAUGGCAGCUGAUGCUAUUAUAACAGAUUCUGGAGCCAUGCAUGUGGCAGGUGUUCCCAUUGUUAACCCAUCAACUGUUGUUGUUUGGGAGGUGACUGCUGGCCCUUGGAAUGGAUUUCAAGCUUCUCCAAAGGCUAGUGUAGGUAAUGGUGUUCCACCAUCAGUGAAUCCUCCUUCAUGGGAUGGUUUUGCCCCUUGGCUGCAUACCUGUUCAGUUGGCAGGAGUAUUUACUGCUAGAAGCUAAGCAAGGAAGAAAAUACACUGAGCAAGACUAUAAUGAGAUGGUGACACUUCAUUGUUCACCAGUUUCAAACUUUUCUGCAUAUGUCAGUCCUGAAGCUGCAGGGCAAUCUGCUUCUGCUACCACCACAUGGGGUUCUGGUGUCACUGCUGUCGCAUUUGAUCCAACUCGUGGUGGUUCUGUAAUAGCUGUCGUGAUAGUUGAAGGUAUUAAACUUAAUUCUUAUUUAAAUUGUCCUUUUUCCCUCAAGUAUAUCUCAUGUUAGAAUGCACUUUUUAUGGAUACUAAUAUUUUUCUUGUAUGUCCACUACUGUUGAGAAUGGAUGUCCUUGAAGCAUCUCAUGGUUAAGAUAGCUGCUAUGCUAUCUGCUUUUGCUAUUGUGGGUCAAUUAAUGAUAUUUUUGCAAGCAUUUUUAGGAUGAAUGUUUUUGGUCAUACAUUUAUUUUAACAUGUGAUUGUUGUUUGUAUUGUUUUUUCUCUUAUAAAUGACCACUACUGCCUAGAGAUUGGUGCUUUUAAACAUCUCAUGAUUAAGCUACUUUUGGUUGUCUGCUAUGAUAUACGCUUUCGCUGCUUAGGUUCAAUUGACAAAUAUUUUUUGCAUGCAAUUUAAGCAUGAUUGGUUUUUCUCCUGGUUGUUACAUUUAGGGUCCCAUGCUUGUUUUUGGUUACCAAUCUGCAAUCUGAUAAACAGAUUUUUUGCUUGGCCUCCUGCUUGGAAAUGAAUAUUUGGGAAAUCAUUAAAAUAUGCUUUAUACAGAGAGAGAGAGAGAGCAGGACUCUAUGUGUAAUUUUGGUGUUUGGAUUAAUAAUCUUAAUAGUUCAUGUAGUUGCUUACUUGUAGGUGCAUUUCAGUCUGCUGGCAUCAUGUAGUACAUCUACAGGAUUUGCAUCAUCUGAAUCACAUGAUUGAGUUGAUAAUAUAAUAUAAACAAGCUUUUUUUUUUUUUGUUUGAAAAAUAUCUUAAAUAUAAUUAUAGAGAGGUAUGGGUUCAUUGUGUAACAUUCUUGGUUCCAUUUUUAACUUUUCUGGCAUUAAGUGCAACUAUUAGAGAUUCAGGGGCUGAUUGUACACUUUCUUGGUUCCUUUUUAGCAUGUCAAUGGAAUGUACAAGAUGACCUGGCUCAUUUAUAAAUUUUCUGACAUUGACUGAUUAUCUAUUCUUAUUGCAACAGGGCAAUACAUGUCCCCAUAUGAUCCAGAUGAGGGUCCCUCGGUCACAGGAUGGAGAGUUCAACGUUGGGAGGCGACCGUUGAGAAUGUUGUCCUCCAUCCUAUAUUUGGAAAUCCUUCUUCGACUUUUGGUGGUGAGGCACCAAAGCAGACAGUCUGGGUGAACAAAGGAAUGAAGUGUACUCCAGCAACAAAUGAUUUCAGAAGUCCUCAAUCAGCUGCUGCUGUGCCUUCUCCUGAUGGAAGAAAUUCAUCUGACCCUGGUGUUGAGGUGACAAAAACAGUCGGUUUUGACCACUUUGAUUUGCCAAGUGAUGUUAGAACACUUGCUCGUAUUGUUUAUUCCUCUCAUGGUGGUGAGAUUGCGGUAGCUUUUCUACGAGGUGGCGUGAAUGUCUUCUCAGGUGCAAGCUUUACACAUGUUGAUAAGUACCAGAUUGAUGUUGGUGCUGCAAUUGCUGCUCCUGCCUUCUCUUCUACUAGUUGUUGUUCAGCUUCUGUCUGGCAUGAUACAAGCAAGGAUUGCACCAUGUUGAAAAUCAUUCGUGUUCUUCCUCCUGCUACUUCAAGUAGUCAACUUAAAGCUAACUCUGUGACCUGGGAACGAGCAAUUGCUGAGAGGUACAUUGGAUAAACAACUUUUUUUGCAUAUCAUAAGACUGUUAGUUUAGUGGAUAUUAUCAUUGAUUCAUAUUAUUCUUCUCUUGCAUCUGUGUCUUUGGAGUUAACUUAGAAUUUUUUUGCUGAAUAGUUUCAUCCUUAAUCAAUAAGCCAUGACAUCUCUUAUCUUGGCAGAUUUUGGUGGAGUCUUUUAGUGGGGGUUGACUGGUGGGAUGCUGUAGGCUGCACUCAAAGUGCAGCUGAGGAUGGAAUUGGUAAUAAUUUUUCAGCAUGCCUAGCAUGUGAAUUCUUUAUGCUGUUUUAAAGCUAACUUUGCAAAUUUUGAAGACUUGGCUACUGACAGAGAUGAGCUAAGACAAAACUUUAUGCGUCUCUAAUGCAAAAUUUUAUUGCUGAGAUUGUAUUGCAUCAGAUCAUGGUGUAACAUCCUGAUGGGAAUUGCAAACAGACUGAUUUGGAUGCUUUAUUUUCUUUUGAACUGCAGACUUGCUGUUCUUAUAUGUUGGCUAUAUUUUGUUGAAUCAAAUAAGGAUACCCUGUUUAUUGUUGGUCUCUUGAUACAGUAAUUUAACUCUAUAUGUUUCCUUAAAUUGUUAAAAAUUGAGCCAAGCGGGUCCCCCAUGAUGAUGUAUGAUUAACAUGCUUUGGUGGUGUAUUAUUAAGAUGCUCUUAUCUACAACUUAAAAUGAAAGAUGAGGAGUUGCUAUUUAGGUGGCGGAAAUUGGAAUUAGUAGAAGGGAAGUGUUUCUUUCCUUGUAUUCAAAUUGAUAGGAUAUGAUGAUUUUUUUUGGUUUUUUUUGGGGGGGGGGCUUGGUUUGUUAUUUUCAGAUGAAAGAUCCAUGAAACUUCAAGCAUACAAUGAGAGAUUCCCUUUGUUUUUUUGGUGUUUCAGAUUGCACUGGUAUUGUGUAAAGAUAUUUUAUUAGUUUGUCUAGGCAAACAAAGAUCAGAGAGAUCUAGUAUAUACCACUUAUUUGAAAAUGUUAAAAGCUGGAAAGCAAAAGAGAGAUUAUGGAGAUGACUGGAAGCCAUUGUUCGAGCUCGAGCCAAUGAACAUUUGUCUCUCUGUGUUUCUCUUUCUAGAUUUUGUAACUUGGUUCUCUGUACCAUUUAUUAGCGCCUCUUUUGGUAAUAACUUUUUCUCUGCUGCAGUGUCAUUGAACAGUGUUAUUGCUGUGUUGGAUGCUGAUUUCCACUCUCUUCCUUCCACUCACCACCGACAGCAAUAUGGACCUGUAUGUUUCAUAAUUUUGAUACUGGUGCAUGUUAUAUUCAGCUAAAGUAUUUUCCUAUUCUGUGUAUUUAAGUAACGUGCUCUUUGCAUGCUUUUUUGGACAAAAGAUGAUCACUUAAUAAAUGUCUUUAAUGAUAUCCAGAAAGUCAUAUCUUUCUACAUAUGCAUGAAACACACUUUAAAUGAUUUAUUAAAUUUGAAAUGUGAUGUUAAAUUUCCAGGAUCCCUAUCUUUGAAGUAAAUCUGAUUUGAUUGAUGCAGAGUCUAGACAGGAUCAAAUGUAGGCUUCUAGAAGGUACAAAUGCACAAGAAGUCAGGGCAAUGGUACUUGACAUGCAAGCAAGGUUGUUGCUAGAUAUGCUUGGCAAAGGUAUUGAAUCGGCUUUAGUAAAUCCUUCAGCUUGCUAUCUGAACCGUGGCAUGCAUCUGGUGAGGCAUUAUCUGUUUUAGAUCCUGAGGCAAUGGCUGUUGAACCAGCACUCGUCCCAAUCAUCCAGGUUUGCAUGACACAUUUUGCAGUUCAAUGACAGUAUGGUUAUCCCGAAGCUUUUCCCUAAUCACUGAAUGAUAUCCAUGUAGGCUUAUGUGGAUGCAGUACUUGAUCUUGCAUCCACUUCAUCACGCGGUUGCGGCGUUAUGCUAGUUUCUGCCGUACAUUGGCAAGUCAUGCUGUUACUGCUGGCACUGGAGGGAGCCGGAAUAUUGGUAACUAGUCCCACCAAAGUUCUGCUUCUCCUACUGCGACUCAGGGUGAGAGAAUUUUUCUUCUUCGGUUCCAAAAAAUUUUCCCUCUUGUUUCUCCUAUUAUAUUUCCUUAUGUGAUACCUGUUGGAUGAGUAUCUUAGGCAUCCCAUCUGCAUAUGUUGAAUUUCCUUGUCCAGGAGCUCAGGGUGGCACUGCUAGUUCCACUGGAGUACCCAGAUGCAAGCUUGGGUUCAAGGAGCCAUUGCAAAGAUUAGUAGUACUGCUGAUACAGUACCAAAUUCAGCCCCAAAUCCCAUAAGUGGCCCUUCAAGUUUUAUGCCUAUAAGUAUAAAGGCACUUUCCCAGGAACAGCUGUUAGGCUUAUUGGAGACUGCCAUUUCCUUCACCGAUUGUGUCAACUUUUGCUUUUCUGCUUUUUGUUUUGGCGAACACAAGUACCACGUUUGUAUGGCAGUUCUCAAAGAAAUGCUGAUUCAGCUGCACAAAAACCUCAGCCUAAUAAUUCAGGCAGAGUAGAAGAAUAACUCUGUCCCUGCGAAACCAGGGUCAGCGAUGAUUAGAGGAGAAGAAGCACAGGGUCCACGAGCUGGCCAGUUGGCUGCAGCAGCAAAAGGACCGGAAGAAGUUCCAUCCAGCCGGUCAAGGCUGGGUUCUGGCAAUGCGGGUCAAGGAUAUACAUUUGAGGAGGUAAAGACAUUCAAUUUUUUACUGAAACAAAUGAAGACCUAUAAUUGGCCUUGCCAUUUAUUGCCUAAUUUUGUUUCUGUUAUGAUUAAGAAAUAGAGGAGUCUUAGUUGAGUGGUAUGCUUCAGACCUGCUUUUGUCUUAAAGUUGAUACACACCAUCUCCUCACAUCUUUUGUAGAACUAUUAAUUUGAACCUUGGAGAAGUUAAAUUAAGAAUUUGUUUGUAAUGAAUACAGGCAAGUUGGGGAAUUAAGUUGUUACUUGGAUGGCGUCUCUUGGAGUUUGCUUGAUUUAGUCCUAAGAUCAUUUUUUGACUUCAGCCUCAUAAUUUUCUAACCAUAUACACCUCUUUUGCUCAUUCAGAAUGUGGGAUAAGAUUCUAAAGUGGUUUUCAUGUAUCUUCUGGAGUAUGUUAUGUACUGUUGGGCUUUAUGGAAGUAAUGUGAGAUGCAAAAGAUAACUUGGGGUUAAGAAUGUCUAAAGCUGUAAUCUUGGAGGGCCUAUUUUCUCUGUGAAGAAAUGCAAAGAUUUGUUACUUUCCCUGUGUGGACUGAUUUUGAUGCCUCUUGCAGGUGAGGGUACUUUUUCGCAUACUGAUGGAUCUCUGCAGGCGAACAGCAGGUCUAGCACAUCCAUUACCUGUUUCUCAGGUUGGGAGUAGCAACAUUCAGGUUCGGCUUCAUUACAUUGAUGGGAACUACACUGUUCUGCCAGAGGUCGUGGAGGCAUCUCUUGGUCCACAUAUGCAGGUAUUUCUUAGCAGUUUUUGAAAAUGAUGAAAGCUGUUAUAUUCUGCUUUCAUUCUUCUUGCUGACUGUUCCAUUCAUAAAAUAAAUGCCUUGUCGCAUUACUGCAGAUGGAAAAUUUUUUCAUCUCUCUCUCUCUCUCUCUUUUUUUUUUUUUUUAAAAGAAACUUUGGCAGUUCCUUAUGGCCAAUAUCUAAUGUGGUUGCGAACAUCCAAGAAAAUUGCCUCAUUUGAUAAUUAUCUUAAAUACAAGAAACUUCUAAAAACCUUAGUUAUUUAAGCUCAUGUCAUGUAACAUUGAUGUAACUAUUUCCGGAAUAAAAACAUCUAAAGUACUCUCACAUAUUGUUUUUGUCGGCUGUUUGCAGUUUAUGCCACGUCCCAGAGGUGCUGAUGCUGCAGGUUUGCUACUGCGUGAGUUGGAACUUCAUCCUCCUGCUGAAGAAUGGCACCGGAAGAACAUGUUUGGUGGCCCAUGGUCUGAUCCUGAGGAUAUUGGUCCUGUCAAUGAUAGUGUAAGGCUAAGCCCUUCAGCAGAUUUACAUGAUGGGACCUCAUCAGAAAACUGUGAUGUCUAUUAUGGAGCCCAUGGCUUGUGGCCAAGGAAGCGCAGGAUGUCUGAAAGGGAUGCUGCUUUUGGGUUAAACACUUCAGUGGGUCUUGGAGCGUAUCUUGGUAUAAUGGGAUCUCGUAGGGAUGUUGUAACGGCUGUUUGGAAAACUGGACUUGAAGGAGUUUGGUACAAGGUUUGUCUUACAUUUAGUAGGACUUUUUCUUUGUCAUCUAUGUCUUUCAUUCCUAAAGUUAUACGUCACUUCAUCCUUUUUUGGGAUUUCCUUGCAACCUCAGAUCAAUAUUUUACUGUUAAGUCUGUAGUCUUAGAUGUUUCCAGAGAGUCCAAACAUAAUGACUAAAACAAAGUUUUACACCUCUGAUCAAGAGUUCAACUGUUAAACUGAUGAAACAUUUGAUGUAGUGUCUAAUUUGCUCAGUCCAGUGGUUUAAUUUUGUGAUAGUUACAAAUUCAGUUACGAGCUUUCUUUGUGAUGCAAUGCUUGACAGUCAUCAUCUCAGACAGUUGACUCUCAAUCUUUGUUAUCAUUGACUUUAUUAAUUUCCCCUAAUUUAUGUGUUCGAGUUGUUUGGGGUGGAAAGCUUGCUAUAUUGUGUUAUUUUAGCUUUAAAAUCCAUUCCACCCAGGCCUCGCUACCCAAUAUACGGGAAACAAAUGAGAGCAAACCAUCAAUUCAAAACUGUAUUCAGACUGGGUCUAAAUUUCAAUGUUAUUAUUAUAUUUUCUUUUAUUCUGAAGUGACUAUUGUUAUCAUGCAGUGUAUAAGAUGCUUGCGGCAGACAUCAGCUUUUGAUCUACCACGUGCUACCUCCACUGGUAAUCAGAAUGAGAGGGCAGUUUGGUGGAUCAGCCGAUGGGCACAUGGCUGCAAUGUGUGGUGGAACAUGGGUCCGAGUUGUAUAGCUCUUUCAAGCAACCUGCUCGUAGUUAUGUACAGAUUUGAUGAGUUGUUGUGACGCUUGGCCAUCUGCAUCCUGUAUUGCUUUAUCAUGGGCUCAGCUGACGGAUUGUGGUUUUAAGUGGCAUUAAUUUGGUUGUAGGAUUCUCAGCAUAAUACAACUGCUGCUUAAAAGUGGAAUUUUUCUUGUUGGGGAACAGUUCCAAGUUUAUCACGUCCUGCGGGAAAGGAAAUGAAUUUGGAGGGGAAUACUCAUUGGUCAAAUCAGAUGGGAAGUAAGUUCACUCUUUCCCAAUAUACCAUGGAGUAUUCUAGAAACGAAAGACUUGCAUAGAUUCCAAGUAGGAUGAAUUUCAGAACUGUGGAGCCCUAGUCGUUUGUGAGUUCGCCUUAUGACUAAUUCUAAGAGCUGCUCGCUGAUGAUAUCGAAGACAAUUUUUCUUGAGUUUCUGAAAUCCUUUCGGAUGUCCGGGGGUGAUAAGAUGACACUAUUUACUUGUACAGAAUGUUACAAAGGGCUAGGAUUUCUUGGUUUGUGGUGGCAGUAACUACCCUGAGAAGCCUGUCAAAGAUCUGUGGUGCUAAGUUAUGGCAGGGUCUGGAGCUUGUGAUGUUCUGCGGCUUCGGCCUUCGCAUCUAUUUUUCGCUUAUGCAGCUGUCUAUUCGCAUCUAUUCUUUGGAAGGUGCCUUGUGAAGAGUUCAUAGUUUUUUUCUGGUAUUUCUGCCAUUUUAUCAUUUACUUGAGGGGCAUUUCCAGCGGUGACCUUAUUAUGUAUAGUAUCUGAAAUGCUAUUUGAAAUGUACCAUUGUACAUCGUUAUACUUCUUUAAUGCCUUCUUUCUUAAAUUUUAAGUCGGUAAAGUUGCAGUAAAUGUAUCUUCUCUAGACCUAUUUAAUUUCUAUGUCUAUACUAUUAUUCUUCGAAAACAGAUAAUGAUUAGUACUUAAUUUUCUUGAUUCAUCAUAUACUGCUGUCGUUUAGUUUUCUAAGAUCAAAAGUGCACUUAGUAUUAUUAUUAUUAGGAUUAUUAUGAUGUUGAAUUAGAACUUAUGAGUAUUUUAGUUUUCUAACUUUUAUUUCAAAAAUUUUUGCUCGUAUAUUCUUGCAGAAAAGGUAAAGGAUAUGCAAAUAAGUUUUCUUGUGUGUGUGUGUGUGUGAUAAUUAAAAGAUGCAUCUCCAUAAAAUCACCUGAUCAUGUAAGAUGAGGAAUAUUUAAAUUCUCGUAUUUUAGGCCAUUCUUGUAAAGUUCAAUAUGUGUAUUUACUAAAUUGUACAGCUCAAGGUGUUUAAGGUCAAUUUCUUCCAUCCCAUAUGGGUCUUACAUUUUCACCAAAUUCUCCAUCCCCUUUCUCCCACGUCGAUUUAGCAGAGAGUCGAGUCACGUGUUUAAGGUCCAUUGAGGUUCCUUUCAAUCAGCAAUUGCUUGGACGUGAGACGUCGGUUUAGCAGAGAGUCGAGUCACGUGUUUAAGGUCCAUUGAGGUUCCUUUCAAUCAGCAAUUGCUUGGACGUUGGAGUCACGUGUGAGUGUUUUUAUUAAAUAACUUCUCAACUCUUUGUUGAGAAAAAAAAUUGCACAGCUUGUUUUUUAUAUCAAUUAAAUUAUAUUUCUAACGUUUUUGUAAAAAAAAAAAAAAUAAUAAUAAUAAAAAUAAUCUCCCGAUCGUUAUUAGACGGCUGCCUCGAGCAAGUCAUUUACUAUUUCGGUGGUUCAGGACUGCAGCGCUGCAGUCGUAAAUAGUAUGUGAAAUAAAACAUCAAAAUCGAACAUUAAGAAGUGAAGCAACCGCAUGUAAGUGGUGGCGCAGCUGAGUAGUGAUGCGCUGCUCGCUCUUGUUGUGGAGUGUGGUGGUGUAAUCAAUCCGCGCGUUCUUGCAGUGGCUGACAACAAGGAGAAAUGAGCAGUUCACAAGCUUCUCAUUCCCUGGCAUUUAGGGUGAUGAGACUAUGCAGGCCGUCUCUCCACGUCGAAACCCCUCUCAAAUUCGACCCCUGCGAUCUCCUCUUCGGCGAAGACCUCUUCGACCACCCUCCUGCCGCCGCUCACCUCCCUCGUCUCCUCUCCGACUUCGCCGACUCUUCUUCUUCCGAUCUCACUUAUCGCUCCCGAUUCCUUCUCUCCCACCCUUCCGACUCCCUCGGCCUCUCUGCUCUCCUCGUCCUCCCCCAGUCCUUUGGGUAAACCCCUUGACUUCCUUUGCCUUAUCUUCCCCUUUUUCUGGUACAGAUUUUGUAUUUUAUUUGUUCUCUUUAUGGUUUAUUCUGUAGGGCAAUAUAUUUGGGAGAGACAUUUUGCAGUUAUAUUAGUAUAAAUAACAGCUCGAAUUUUGAAGUCAGGGAUGUUAUCAUCAAGGUUAGAUUUGUUUAUUAGUUAAUCUUCUUCUUUCUUUCUUUCUUUCUUUUGGUUCUAUUAAUUUGUUCAGUUGAUGUCAUUUGCAACUUUUACUUUAUUUUAAUGAUCUUUUUGCACCCACAAAAAAAUUAGUAGAAAGCAAAAAGGAGUGUGAUGGGCUUGUAACAUUUUACUAUGGCUCUAAUAUGGAGUAAAAUUACUCCACAUAUGACUUUAAUAUGUUAUAGAUAACAUUAAAUGUAUGCAGCAAAAUGGCCAGCCUAAAGGAAAGAAAUACAAGUGUAAUGGACAAAAUUUCAUGAGAAUUAGUGGACUGUUUACUAUACUAAAAAGGACAUCUGAGGCAAGUUUUUCAGAACUCCUCUUAGGGAGCUAUGAACAUAGAGAAAAUUGGGGAGAGAGUGCUAAGUCAAAGAGUUGAGGUUGUAAGCUCAUGCUAAGGCUAUCUUAGGAAGAUCUGAUGGCAAUUUCUCUAGAGUUUGAUUGAAUCAGAUAUUACUAAAGAGUAUGAGAAUUUGACCACCCCCAAAAAAAAAACAUGUGCUUGGAUAGACGAUUAUUCAGAGAAGUUUUUGGAGUAAUUACUGUAUCACUUUUUAAAAUGUAAUUUAUGUGAGAAAAGUGGAUAGUUGGAAGAUAAAAUGGUGAUCAGAAAUUGUGUUUGUGAUGAAAGCAAAUAAUGGCCAAUCCAAACAAAUAAUGCUAUUUGCUUUGUUUAUUUGGUCCUCAUGAUUUGGAAGUGAUACAUGGAUCUUCACAGGCAGAAGUCCAGACAGAGAGACAGAGGAUACUGCUCUUAGAUACAUCAAAAUCACCUGUAGAAUCCAUACGUGCUGGAGGGCGUUAUGAUUUCAUUGUGGAACAUGACGUAAAAGAACUUGGUGCACAUACGUGAGUUCCAUGUUUCCAUCAUCAACUUAAAUUUAAUAUACACAGUUUGCCUCGAGUAGUAUCCUAAUUUGGCUUUGUCUGUGCGGUGCAAUAUUGACAGGUUGGUUUGUACAGCUCUUUACAGUGAUGGUGAUGGGGAGCGUAAAUAUCUUCCUCAGUUUUUCAAAUUCAUUGUUGCAAAUCCACUUUCAGUCAGAACAAAGGUACCAAUGCUCCCAAGUCCUCGUUGUUCACAAUUUAAACAAUUUUAGGUGACUGGAAUGUAGCUUACAUAUCUACGAAACAUUUCACAGCUAAAAUUUUUCAGUUACAAUGAUUGCUGUGUUUUGGCUGCUUUAAAAUUUUUUACCUGCAGGUUAUCAUUACUCUCUCUUGCUUGUUCUAGCCAAACAUUUUGCUCAUUUCUAUCCUUCUUUUGCUUUUGUGCAGGUUCGGGUUGUCAAGGUACAUUGAAGUUUUGUUUAUGUUCAUGAUCCUUCAUACGUAUUUACAUAAUAAGUUGCAUUUAACCUCUUUGAAUUGUUAACUAAGUAUAUUCUCAGCUUUCUUUCAGUGGCAUGAAUCAGUGAAGGGUCAAAAUUGUAAUGCUAACUUUAUUACAAUGCUUUCAAAUGCCUUUUGUAUCAGGAAACUACUUUUUUGGAGGCUUGUAUAGAAAAUCAUACCAAAUCAAAUCUCUUUAUGGACCAAGUAGAGUUUGAGCCAGCUCAAUACUGGAGUGCUACAUUACUUCAGGCUGAUGAUAAUUGUUCAGAAAAUGAUUCGUUAACUAGGUAAGUAGAUUGUGCAUGCUAUAUGCUGUAGUUGCUGAAGCUAGAGAUGUGUCAAAUGUUGUUUAAUUUUGCCCUUUCUAUUAGUGUAUUUGAACAUCAAGUUCUAAUUUCUUCUGAUAGGGAAUUAUUUAAGCCACCUACACUUAUCAGAUCUGGAGGAGGAAUUCACAACUAUCUGUAUCAAUUGAAAUCAUCCAUACAGGGACAGCCACAAAUGAAAGUUGAGGGAAGUAAUGUCCUUGGCAAAUUUCAGAUAACAUGGCGAACAAAUCUGGGUGAGCCUGGUCGCCUGCAGACGCAACAGAUUCUUGGUAGCGUAAGUGAUUUCCACUCAUAUCAGUUAAAAUUUAGGUUAACACAUGCCUAGAUUUUGCAAGCAAAGGGGGGUUACUGAUCACUGUUUAGAUGUAACUUAUCCGAGAGAUGAUGGUGUCACAAAUGAAUUUUACGCUCUGCAGCUUGCCAAUAUCUACUUAUCACAUCUUACUGGGUAUCUUGUGGUGAAUAAAAGGAGAGAUCUGCUGCAAGAAUAGAAAUAGGAAAACUUCCAAAGCUUGUAUUUAUUUUUUACUUGUUAAAAAGAGAUUCUUGGCAUCUUUGAGUCUUAGAGUUACGUCUGACUUAGACCUGUAGGUACAUAUUUUACCUAUUGAUAUAAAGUUUAUCUUCUUAGGUCUCUGAUAUUUUAUCUGCUUUCAGCCUGUAGUACACAAAGAUAUUGAGUUGCAGGCUGUGGAGGUACCAUCUCUUGUCAUCUUCGAGAAGCCCUUCUUGGUAACUUUCAUUUAUUUAAGCAAAUAGGACUAGGGGGGUCAAAUUAUAACUUGCUGUAUUCAUUAUUCUUCUCUUUGUCCUCCUAUGAUCCUUUUUUUUUUCUCUUACAGUUGCGCUUAAAUCUCACAAAUCAGACAGAUAGGAUACUAGGCCCCUUUCAAGUUUGGUUGUCGCAAAGUGAUUCUUUUGAUGAGAAGGCUGUUUUGGUCAAUGGCCUUCAGAUGAUGGUGAGACAUAAAAAUGGCUAGCAGUAAACUUUGCUUUUGGGUUUUGUUAAGAUGCUAGUUUAAUCUUAUUCUUCCAGCAUUCUCUUGAAUACUAUAUUCCACUGUUCCUGGUUGUUUGGAAGGGUUUGAUUAAACAUCUAAGAGACUUAGGUAUGUAGUUAUCACUUCAUAGUAGGCUUUAACUGACAAUGAUAUUUGAAGCUUUGCAAGUCCAUCCUAUGAAGCUUACUUUGUCCAUUGGAUCCUCUUAACUUUUACGCAUCAUUGCAGCCUUUGGCGGAGGUGGAAGCAUCGAGUUCUUCUGAAUUCCAACUGGUAAGAAGAGUCUUCUGCAACAUUUUUCUUGACCAUAUUAGUUUGAAGAUUCAACUUUUGCUAAGUGAAAUGCAAAAUAAUAUCUCAACCUUGAAAGUUUGGAAUUUUUACUUUCUAAUGGUCAGAAAUUAAAUGUUGUGCAUGGCUGUUAUUGGGAAGUAUAGCUUCAGUUCUUGCAAAGCAGGACUUUUAAUUUCUAUGGGGAUAAAUGUCGACUGAUGGAUGUUUAAAAAAUCAGAGUAAAAAGUGUCCAAGUUGCUAGCUAUAACUUGAUUUAAUCUGCCAAAGCUGAAGAGAACCGACGUAUUAGAAGAUUGUAUUUCUGUGCUUAUUUCCUCCUCCUUUCUCUCUUUCUUUUGUUAGGUUAUAGUCUUAGUUUCUCAAAACCCCCCGCUAGUAUGUGGAAGGCACUGUUGACUAUGCACGUUGUUAGUUGUAUCGAAUCUAGUAAUCAUUGAAAUUGCUAUGAUUGGGCAAGUACGUGCAACUGAUGAUUUUUUCAAGCUUGGGACUUUAUAGUAGUUACUCGACUGUUACUGCAAUUGCUUGCCAUAAUUCUUGGUCCUUUUGCUUUCAGAACUUAAUAGCAACAAAGCGCGGAAUUCAGAAAAUCACUGGAAUUACUGUGUUUGACACACGGAGAAGAAAACUUACGAGUCCUUGCUAGAACUAGAGGUUAGUAUUCUAUCAAUACUUUGGCUGCAACUUUGACUGAACUUGGGAGGCAAAUGCUAAGAUUGCUUUUUACUGACCUUGAUUUGGCAAUAGGAUGAUUAUAUAUAUAUAUAUAUAAUUUUAAUAUUCCAAGAACCUACGAACAGGUUAUUUGAUCUUAACUCUGUCAGUGGAAGGAAAAACCCAUGUUGUGUUAGUCGGACUAAAGAAAUUAGCAAGUAUGAUGGGAUAGAGAGAGAGAAAAGUGAUGACAUUUCAUUACCAGAUCACAUCCUUUUUAAAGAUCAGAUCAUGGACUUUCAAGUCAGAUUGAAAACACAAUUUAUGUGGGGUGGCUACUAUAGUUGCUGAUGGGUUUUUAAUCUGACGUGUUUGGGGUUAUUGUGCAGAUAUUCGUGGAUUCAGACUACACCUGAGCUCUGUGCCUCCGGUUUGUUCACAGGAUGUGCUCUAACUUGCGUUGUGAGCUUUCAUGAGAGCUCUGCUUGGUAUAUUGUGCCCUUUGACUCAGCGAGCUCGUCGGACUAUGAGGCCCGGAUGCUACACCAUUUCGGAGCUGAUGCCUAUUUAUGAUUGGCCCGGUGAACUUUGUGACCUUCCGUUUGAAGCAUUGUAGUGGAUGAAGGAAAUGAUCUUCUUGACAAGAAAUGUCUUCACCAGUCGUAACUGUAUACCACAUUCUACAUGGAUUUUGCUUCUUUGCUUGUAUACUAGUUUAGAAAAAAAUAAUAUAACGUCAAUUGACUCUGGACAUUUUUUUGUCUCCCUUUCUCCUUUUACAAGAUCAAUAUGUUCCUGUAAGAACUUCUCCAUUUUUUGUUUAAUUCUUUUCCAUCUUGCUUUACACUUCUUUACACACACUAUUAAUUUGGUGUAUCGUACAUUUCUUAUUUUAACAUCCUUUAUGUGUUGGAUUUAAUAUGUUACAGAGUGUGAGUGUUACCUUUAUUAUGAUAAAAAAUUUUACUACUUUAUAUUUCGGUUUUUGAUUUUCAACUUUUUGGUCAAUAUCGAUUGGAGCAAAUUACUUGAGUAACCAUACAGAGUUAACUAUGAAGAGUUAUUUGCCUAAAUAACUCCCUUCACAAAAAAUAUUCCCAAAAUGAUUCAAUUUCAUACUUUAUUCUCAUAACAACUUUUUUUGUUAUCCAUCAGAUCAAAUUCAAAUGGAAAUGAGAAAAAGGGUAAAACCCUUCAUUAGCCAUUAAUAUAGUCCAAAAAUCACCCACAUGACUAUAGUAUUCUACUCAGAAUUUAGCUUCUCUUUUUUUACUAUAAUAUCAUACUUUGACUUUACUUGUCACUCUAUUGUCCAAAAAAGUCUUGAAUACUUAACAUAAUCUGGCGAUAUUUCUAAACAUGAGAGCAAAAGUCUUGAAUAUUUAAAUAAAUUGACAAUAUUUUCAAAGAUGAGAGCAAAAUCUAAAAUUUGACUGUUCAUCUUUGUUCCAGUUGCAGCAAUUUUCUCUUUGUGAUGCUAUCCUUCUUAUUAAAAAAUAAUAAUAAAAGAAAAACUCAAUACAAAUCUAGGGAAACUGGAAUUAUCACUAAGCAUGAAAGCAAAAUCUAGAAUUUUGAUUGUUCACCUCCAUUCCAGUUGCGGUAAUUUUCUCUUUUUGAUGCUCUCUUUCCUAUUAAAAAUAAAAAAGAAAAAAAAUAGGAAAAACUCACUACAAAUCUAGCAAAAUUGGAAUUAUUAGUAUGUUUAUACAAAAAAAUUCAUCACUUGUUAAUUCAAAAUUUUCCGUCACUCUCUCCAUUCAAUCAAUCAAUCGUACAAAAAUUAGUUUUGAUUUUGUCAUGCUACAUUGAACGGGAACUCAUUGUGCAUGUGGCUAUAUGGGAGGAAUAGCAUGUAGGGCUGAGGAAAACAGUCUUAUGCUUUUUAUUUGGAAUCGAUACUCGUCGGUCCGGAGCCUCCUAUGUUAAUAAUGAUGGUAACGAGAAUUUGAUUGAGUUUGAAGAAUUUGAUUUAGAAAGCAUGGAGGACGCUGCUCCUUGUUAGGGGAUAAGGUCAGAAGAUUAGAUUAGUAAUAAAAUUUGGAGUUGAAUCAUUGUAGGAAUAUUUUUGAAAAAAAAAGGUUAUUUUGGCAAAAAACUCUAACUAUGAAAGGGACCAAAAUUUAUACAUUUGAUAGUUUACUGGGUGAUUAGAACUUGGCAAUUGAGAUUGUUUUAUGCUUCUUAACGUGAUAAUGCAUGAUUCAAAAAGGGCUUUAUUUGGAAUAUUAAAGUUGUCCUGAUUUUUAUAUACAUUUCAUCCAUUGUAUGUAAUCAAAUUAAUGAGAGUAAUAUACAUAUAGUAACAUAUAUAUAAGAAAGUAAAUUAACUAUUAAUGCUUUAAAAGUAUCACCUAAUUUUAUCUUUUUAUUAAAAAUAAAACAUUGGACCGAUUUGUUGAUUUGAGCACCAAAUAAACAGACUCAGCUGAAAUGGGACUAUUGUAAUUCCUUCAAUGCUGUACAAUUAAUACGGGAAAUGACGAUAGAGUUGGCAACCCUAAAACUUGAGCUUAAAUUUGUCUAACAUCUACUAACACUACUAAUAGUUCUCAUAUUUAGUUGGGCGACUUAAAUCUUGCAACUGGGAUGAAAAUACAAAUACAAGAAGAGUACCAUUCCUGCCAUUGCUCGAUAACAUCGUUCCAUAAUUCCUGAAGUCUGUAGUCACCCUCCCAGAAAAAUAUCAUCUUCAGUACUUGACAAAAAUAGCCAAAAUUGCUGUUAACUUGGCCCCAAAACUACCUCACGUUCUCCUCCAAGAAAAAUUUGUUUCUCUAUUGAAAUCAUGUAAGAAAGCCAGGCAAGUCAAAGCAAUACAGACCCAGAUUAUAACUCACGCUCUUGACCCCAGCAACCAAUAUACAAUCCCAACUUUACUCUCAAAAUGCUUUGUUAUAAACCAAGUCUCGUAUGCCCACACGGUGUUCGAUAGAAUUCGUAGCAGAAAUGCCUCCGUGUACAAUGCAAUGUUCAAAGGCUAUCUGGACUAUGAGAUGUUCAAUGAAGUAAUAUUGUUGUUCAAUGAUAUGAUUCGCGAAAAUGUUAGUCCUAAUGGUUACACAUUUCCAAUGGUGCUUAAAUCUUGCCUGAGACUAAUGGCCUUAAAAGAAGGCGAGAUGGUGCAUUCUUUGGUGUUGAAAUUUGGGUUUAAGUCAAAUACCUAUGUCGGUUCUACUUUGAUUGAAAUGUACGCGAGGCAGGCCAAGUAAGCUGCGCCUGCAGAGUGUUUGCUGAGAUGGUUUUGAGGAAUGUUGUUACAUGGACUUCAAUGAUCAAUGGUUUUGUUUUGAAUGGCGAUUUGUUUUCCGCAAGGAGGCUCUUUGAUUUGGCACCCGAGCGGGAUGUUGUGUUGUGGAAUACUAUGUUGUUAGGUUACAUUGAGCACGUGGAUAUGGCGGAGGCUAGAAAGCUUUUUGAUGUGAUGCCCAAUAAGGACUUGAUGUCUUGGAAUACCAUGUUAAAUGGCUAUGCGAAUAAUGGGGAUGUUGAACGGUGUGAAGAACUCUUUGAAGAGAUGCCAACAGAGAAAUAUCUUCUCAUGGAAUGGGUGAUUGGAGGGUAUGCCAUAAUGGACGGUUUGUUGAAGUCCUUGGAACAUUCAAAAGGAUGCUAAAUGAGUCCGAUGUGCAGCCUACUGAUGCCACGCUUGUGAAUGUGUUGUCAGCUUGUGCAAGGUUAGGUGCACUUGAUUUGGGCAAGUGGGUUCAUGUAUAUGCUGAGAGUAAUGGGUACAAGGAUAACCUUUAUGUUUGUAAUGGUUUAAUUGAUUUGUAUGCCAAGUGCGGAUGAUAGAAAGUGCAAUCAAUGUUUUUAGGAACAUGGGAAGAAAAGAUUUGAUAUCCUGGAACACAAUUAUUAAUGGCUUAGCAGUACAUGGUCAUGGAGCUUAUGCUUUAAAGUUGUUUAGUGAGAUGAAACUUGAAGGAAAAACCAGACGCAAUUACUUUUAUAGGUAUUUUAUGUGCUUGUUCUCAUAUGGGUUUAGUUGAUGAAGGAUUUCAGUAUUUUCAGUCAAUGGUUGAUGAGUACUCAAUUGCGCCACAAAUUGUGCAUUAUGGUUGCAUUGUUGAUCUACUAGGUCGUGCUGGACUUCUGGAGCAGGCUGUGGAUUUUGUGAACAAAAUGCCAGUAAAAGCAGAUGCUGUGAUUUGGACCACUUUACUUGGUGCUUGUAGAGUUCACAAGAAUGUUGAAAUUGCUGAACUAGCUCUUCAAAACUUAUCCAGAUUGAGCCUAAAAUCCAUCAAACUAUGUGAUGCUGGGAAACAUUUAUCGAGCUGCUAAAAUAUGGAAAGAUGUUGCACGACUUAAAGUUGCAGAGAGGGAUACUGGAUCUAGGAAAUUGCCAGGUUGCAGCUCAGUUGAAGUUGAGGAUGGAGUGGUUGAGUUCUACUCAUUUGACGAAAGGCAUUCUAGCUCAGAGGAGAUAUAUGAUGCCCUGAGAGGAUUGAUGAAUGUGUUGCUAUCAGAUGGAUAUGUCCCAGAUUUUGUGGAGCUUGGUCAGGGAAUCUAGAGAAGUGAAACAAAAUUUGUGUAUUGAGUACCUUUUUUGUGUUGAUGUACAGUUCGAUGCUUUUAACCAAGACCGAGGACAUAUACGAUAUAACAUGCCAUGUGAGAAUAAUAAAGCACCAAAUUCAGUGGAAAAUUUCCCAGACCCUGUUCUGAUUUUGCUGUACCUGGAUUUGCUUGAUUCUGCAAAGAAUGCCAUAAUCAAUUAUCAAUCUGGAAAAAGCUGUCUGACAAAUUUUACAUCUACUGUGAGGUUAAACCAUGGUUUGUAUGAUGGUGUCACUUUAUUACUCAGUCUGAUAGAAUGUGAUAGAUUAGGGAUCACUCGGUCUGAUAGUAGUCACUUUAUUGAUUUGUACUUUUCCAAAUAAUGAAGAUCUGUGCUUGAAAAUGGACUUCCUGAGCUGAAAUAUUAAAACUAAAAUCAAGAAAAAGUGAUUGAGACUUCUGAAAUAAAAUUGAGUCUGCAAAAAAAAAAAAAAAAGGUUCCAGAGAAGGAUGGUGAAAAACCACGUGCAUCCGAAGCCCCCGUAAGUAUAGUAGUAAAUCCAAUCUGGACAAAGCAAGUCUUGGAAGGAACUCUGCAAAUCCUUGGCUGCAGAAUCAAAUUCAGCUGAGGACGAUCAAUUCUUAACUUGGAAUCUUAACACACUGCCGUUAAAGCUGUUAACAAGUUGGAACAUGUUUGCUUGGAACGAGAUGAUCAUGGACAUUCUAAUGACGAAUCUCCAGCUUGAAGCUCCUGGUCUUUCGGUAAAGAUCCAGCAUCUGAAAUGGAUAAGGUGCAAUUUUUAAACAGAGCUCAAACUCCUUCCGCAGGAGCUGAAGACCGGAUGCAAUUGAAAUGAUUUUGUGCUUAUGAAUAAACAGAGGCAAAGGUAUUGUUUUAGGAGCUCUUACAUCAAUCUUACACCAAAAAGUUAUCAUACUCAUGCACUAAUAUUCUUCUUCUACCUUUUGUAAUUUCAAAAGCACUAAUCUAGAGCCAUGAAUAUGCCCAAUAAUCACCGUGAUGAAGUAUUAGUGAGAAUAGGCAUUUAUCCUGCAAAAUCACAGUUCGCUGCCGUUCUGCACUUGACCAGCAGCUGCCCCUCCCUUACUCAACAAUUUGAAUAGUAGCAAUAUCCAAGAACCAACUAGAGCAAACCAUAGCAACUUUUCCCUAUGCCUUGCUCUUAUAUUCUCAGCCUCCUGCAUUCUCACACGUCGCAACAAGCUAGGGAUUAACCAUUUUGAUUGCUCACACAUGGGUUUAUCAUACCAAAGGAAGAAUCCGCAGCCAUUGCCUUCCUAAACCAUUGUCAGAAGCACAAGACAAUCAGAUCUUCAUGGAUGAUUUUUGCUUGCACUCACUAUGUGAACAGAAAAGGAAGGAAAAGAAAAAAUUCAAGUUCAAAGAGUUUUACUCCGUAGUUUUCACAGCAGAAGAACCUUCUUCCUGGGUUUUCAUCUGUCCAAGAAGUCCUAAGCUUGGAAGCUUUGCCACAGUGACACGUCACAGGAACAGUUGUGACCUCUUCACUCUCUUUAACAACAUUCUCUUUGCUUUGAUCAAACUAUGCAACAACAAGUACAUAGUGUCAAUGCAUACAAGAUUUGCACGAUAAAAAGAGACAUGAUCAAUUACAGAUCUCAGUGGAUUACAUUGAGUGGCUUCAAUCAUUAUCACCAAAUUCAAAGAAAUUUAUUCAUUGGAAAGCAUUAUACACACGCGAUAUGAUAAGUGAAAUUCCUAAAUAUGUCACUGUUUACACUGUCUUUGCAACUUUUGGAGGAAAAGGGGGCUGAAACUCCUUCUUUUUUCCCUACUAUAUAAAUAGCUCCCUGAGUUAAGCGUGAUGAUUUUCACAAGUGACUUUAGUAAACUGGUUAGUGAUCAACAUAACACACUUUAGUCAGAAGUACUUGGAACAGAACUCAACUAUCUCAACAUUGAGAGACUAGAAUGAGAUCUUUUUACACAGACUUGGGAGUAUUACAAACAUUUGCCAAACCAAACUCAUCAAGGAUAACAAACUGGUUCAAAAAACAAACGUUACUGAGUCCAAAUAUGUUCAUUCUACUAAUAACGACCCUCAAGUCAAAUUUACAUGUGAGGGUGAUUGAAAACGAGGAAAGAAACAGGAACACUAAUGAACCACAGGAAACUUAGUGCUAAGGUGAAUAUGCAGUUUCCUGGUCAUGUCAACAGCUAGAGUGCUUAAUUUUAUCAGGCCUGCUGUCCCCAAGUUGCCCAGUUAGCCUCACUUCCUACCCUUGGUAUGCUAUUAAUCUUGGAAAGGGCAU